rnacentral:lncRNA from 1 species
UGAGUUGUUGGUUGGUUGAAUAGUAUAAUCUAACGAGUGAAAAUGGUUAAAGGAUAGAUCUAAUGGUCAAAAACUUAUAAGUACAAGAGGCUCUAUACUCAUAAGAGUAUAGUAGCCGGACUCAUAUAUAUAUAUAUAUAUAUAUAUAUAUAUAUAUAUAUAUAAUAUUAUUAAACAUUCGAUAAAAAUACACACUCAAAAUAUGUUAUGAUUAUACAUUAUAUUACAUAAAAAUAAAAGUGAUAUAACUAUAUAUUAGAUAUGAUAUAAAGUUGAUUAUGUUUGACAUAAUAUUUGAUUUGACUACACAUUUGACAUGAUAUAAAAAUAAUACGAUUAUAUAUUAUAUAAAAAUAAAAAUAAUAUAACUGUACAUUAAAUAUGAUAUAAAGUUGACUACACUGAUAUAAAAUUUGGCUUGACUAUACACUGAAUUUAAUUAUAAAACUGACAUGACCAUAUUUAACAUAAAGUUGAUUAUUUUAUAUUAACAUUUGACUUGACUACAUAUUUGAUAUGAAAUAAAAAUAAUACGACUAUUCAUUAUGCAAAAAUAAAAUGGAUAUAACUACAAAUUAGAUAUGAUAUAAAGUUGACUAUACUUGAUAUAAAAUUUGACUUGACUACACAAUUAAUUUAAUCAUAAAAUUGACAUGACUAUAUUGACAUUAAAGUUGACUAUACUUGAUAUAAAUUUUUAUUUAACUAUAUAAUUGACAUAAUUAUAGAGUUGAUAUGACAAUACAUUGCGUAAAACUCUAGAGAUGCUACGACUAUAACCUACAAAUUUUUAUUUUAAUAUUUAAAAAAUCAAACUUCACUAUAAAUAGUUAAACUUUGUUAAUUCCAACCCCACUAUCAUCCUUCUCUUCUUUAUACACUAUACAAGGUAGCGUUUGGUUCGGGAACAAAGGGGGGAAUAAGCUCUUGUUCCCCCUUUUGUUCCCAAACGGUAUGUUUGGUUCCCGGGAACAGUAGUUUCCGGAAAUCUGAAACAAGCUGGUAUACGGCUGGAACUCCUGUUCCAUCUGUUUCCUGGAACAAGCUUGUUCCUUAAUGAGAAUAAGAUUAAAUAAAAUCUAAAUUUAAUUUUAAUGACAGUAAAUUAUUAAUUAAUCUAAUUAAUAUAUUUAAAUCAGUAUUUAUUGCUUUAAUAAUUAAAUAAUUAAAUAAUUUAUUAUUUAUAAUUAAUGAUUAAUAAUUAGAUAAUUAUUAUUAUUAAUUUAUUAUUUAUAACUAAUUAUUAAUAAUUAAUAUUCAUGAUUAUUUAUUAAUAAUUAUUAAUAAUUAUUAUUCUUAAUGAUAAUCGAUAUUAUUAUUAAUUUAUUAUUUAUAAUUAAUUAUUAAUAAUUAAUAAUAAUUAUUAUUAUUUGUUAAUAAUUAUUAAUAAUUAUUAUUCUUAAUAAUUAGAUAAUCGAUAUUAUUAUUAAUUUAUUAUUUAAAAUAAUUAUUUAAUAAUUAUUAUUAUUUAUUAAUAAUAUUAAUAUAAUUAUUAUAAAUAAUUAGAUAAUCAAUAUUAUUAUUAUUUUAUUAUUUAUAAUUAAUUAUAUGAUAAUAAUAAUUCCUUUUAUUUAUUAAAAUUAUUAUUAAUGAUAACUAUUAUUAUUAAUUAGAUAAUCAAUAUUUUAUUUUAUAUUUUAAUUAUUAUUAAAUAAUAUAAUAUUAUUAUUUAUAAUUAAUUAUUAAUAAUUAAUUUUUUAUUUAUUUUUAAGUAAUAUUUUGAUGUUAACUAAUUACAUAAUAUAAUUUUAAUUUCAAAUUAUAACUAUUAUUCCUCUCGUUCCAAUCUAACCAUCCAAACACUAUUUACCAUAUUCCUAGGAACAACUCAAUUUUCAUCCAAACGCAAAAUUGGUCUAGUUCCUGCUUAUACCUGAACUUGUACCUAUCCCUGGAACUAGCAAUUCUUACUUAUACAUGAACCAAAUGCAGCCAUUACUCAUCUCUCUUCCACUUCUCUAAUUUUCACUACAUAUCUUAUUUAUAUAAUCUAAAGGGUUCCAAAAGUACCAGUAGUAAGUAAUAAUAAAAAAUUUAUAAUUUAGUAACAAUACUAUUAUUAUUAUUAAUAAAUAAAUAUUUUAUUAAUAUUAUAAUAAAAAUUAAUUAUUAUUAAUAUUGAAGAGAGAGAGAGAUAGAGGUGUGGUUGGGGAGGAGAGAGAGAGGAAGAGAGUGAGAAGAUGUCUUGGGAAAUGUGAGAGCAGAGAGAAAAAGACAAUCUCCCCCACUUAACAAAUUAAUCUAUAUAAAAGUUAUUAACUUUUUUUUUUUUUCUAACCUAUAAAAAUGACACUAAAUUAGAAAUAUUUUUUGAAAAAAAGGCUAGAUAGUUUUUUUUUUUUUUUUUUUCUAAAGAGGCCAGGGAAGGCAAUAGUUUAUAUAUAAGUUAUAUAGAGUCGAAUAUGAAUUAGGAGUCUAUCAAAUAUACUCUUAUGGGUACGAUCGCUCUCGUACUCAUAAAUUGCUUUGGAUGAUAGAGCUUCCGAAUCAACGAUCAACACCGUUAAACGCUAUCUAUAGCAUUUAAAACGUCUAGAAAUCAAAUUUUAUAAUUUUUUGACAUUAUUUACCUUACGAUCAAAAGGUCACAAAAUUAAUAAUUUUUAACGGCCGGUAUGAAAUAUUUGCUAGUUUAACGGUAUAAAAAAAUCGAAAUCGAUUGAAUUUUUGAUAGAAAAUUCUAUUUACUACAUAUAUAAAGAUCAAUAACUCCGAUCUUAAAUUGAGGAUCUGAUCAUUCAUUUUUAAGACGUCGUUUGAUUUUGACCGUUUAUUUUAUACCCGCUUGAUGAACUUUAUUAUAAUUUCGAAAAAUUACGAAAUUUAUUUUCUAAAAGUUUCAAAUACUCUAUAUCAUAUUAACAGAGUGGAUCGUCGAUUAGGAAGCUCCAUCAUCGAAAACAAUUUAUGAAUAUAAAGAGCUCUAUACUUAUAAGAAUAUAAUAGUCCUAGUCUAUAAAUUUGUUGAUCUCAGUUUAUGUUCGACCCGUUUAUUUUAUUGUUUUCGUAUUAAUUAAUAAUAAUACCGUUGAAAGCUUUAUACGUGGGCCCCGCACACGUGUAACCCACUCGGGAUACGCACGUGCUACACCGCACACCCGAUUCCCCUGUUUGACUCCUCGUAAAAGAUUCAUGGAAUUUUUUUUCUUUUUUUUUGGGUUUCACCGUGUUUGUAUUUUCAAAAAAAAAAAAAAGAAAAAAAUAAAAAUAAUAGCUUUUUAAAACCUUUAGGAAAAAAAAUUCUAUAAAAAAAUUUGCUUUUUUAUUUUCAGAUUCCCACUUUUGGUUGCACCCUGUUUUCUGUUUUCUACCUGCUUAGCUUUAAAAAUAAUUAAUUUUUUUCAUUUUUUAGAUUUCAUAAAGAGUUAAUAUUUUUAUUUUUUGAAAAGAGAAUUAGAAACCAAAAGAAAUAAUUUUUCACGAAAUCUAAAAAACAACAAAGCUAUUUUUAAAAAAAAGGAUAAACUUCAAAUACCAUUCUUGUGGUUUCGCAUUUUCUCACUUUAAUUUAUGUACUUUAAAGUGUAUCAAAUUACUGGUUUUUGGUUUUAUUUUUUAACUUUUCGAUAGUUUCUCCGUCAAUAUUUCGUUAAAUUUUAUACAAAAAACUUCAGAUACUCCACAUAACUUUAUCGAAUAUUCACUUUAGUACUUUUUAGUUUUAACUUUGUCACUAAUUUAACGAAAAAAAAUUAGUGAAAUAAAUAAUAAAAAAAGAAAAAUAAAAUUACUGGGUACUAAAUUGAUAUACUUUAAACGACAUGGUACUAAAGUGAAAAAGUACGAAACCAAAUGAUUCUUAUUCCAAGUUUUUCCUUUUUUAUCUAUUAUUACAAACCAUUCCCAACAUGUACAUCCAAAAACCCCUUUUAUAUAAAACCUGCUCUCUUAAUUUGCACAUCAUUCUCUCUUUCUCUUCUUCAUUUCUUAUUUCUUAGUUCUAAGUUCUAAGAACAGCGACGGCGGCGUCGACGACGGUACAGAAAAGAAAGAAAAAAAGAAACAGAAAAGAGUCAGAUAAAAGAGAUUAGAGAGACAGACAGAGAUUGAUUCGACCGCGAUUUGAAUUCAAACCCAACUCAAUACAGUAUACGAAAAGGGUCAGAUCCUCUUUUUUUUUUUUACCUUUUUAUUUUCUCAUGAAAAAAUUAUUACAUGCGUGUACACUUGUAAGUAAAAUUUUAUUUAGGAUGUGAAAAAUAAAAUGAAUACGAUAAACAAUUUGUCAACUUUUAUAGAAAAAACUUAAAAUACCACUCCUGUGAUUUCGCACUUUUUCACUUUCGCACCCUGUGAUUUUAUUUUUCUCUCAUUAUUAUUCUUUUCGCUAAUUUUUUUUUCAUUAAAUCAGUAAUAAAAUUAAAACUAAAGAAUACUAAAAUAAAUAUUUGAUAAAAAUAGGUGGGAUAUCUGAAGUUUUUUGUAUACGAUUUAACGAAAUGUUAAUAGUGGAACUGACAAAAAGAAAAAAAUAAAAUCAUGAUACAUUUUAAAUUUUAUGAUACUAAAGUGAGAAAGUACGAAACUACAGAGCUAGUAUUUGAAGUUCACCCUUUUUUAUAUGUUUAUAGCAGAUGUCGUAUAGUAAAUGAUUUUUAAAUAUAUUUUUAUAAAAAUUUAUUUGUACAAAUUAAAAUUUUGACAAAUUUAAUCUUUAGAUUUUUUUAAAAAAUGUACGGAUACUCGGAUGAGUGCACGUAAGCUAUAAUAUUUAAUGUUGAGUAUUAAUUAUUAAUAAUAAUAAUUAAAUCACCGAUUUCUGAUCAUCCUCGAUGUUUACGCCGAACCAAAAAAAAAUCUAACUUUUUUUAAUAAUAAUAUUUAAUGAUAUUUUAUUUAUUUGGAUUUAUCUUGGACUUUUUAUUUCAAGUAGCGAGAGUGACCCACGUGCUUUGCUUUAUUUUUAUUUUUUUUUAUUGGUCCCCUCAAUCUGAGCCUCUCAUUUGAAAAUUUUAGAAUAGAGUAAAAUGUUAGGGUUUUUUUUAGGAUUUAGGUUUUAAGAUCUAGAAUAGAUGGCACCUUCGAAGAAGGGAGGCGGUACAGUUGGUAUUAGAGUCAAUCACCAGUCAAAAAUAUGAGAUGAGUCUCAGCUUGAUAGAGCAGGACUUUUCAGCUGAUAAUUAUUUUGAGUGGCGCGCGGCUCACCACCACAAGAUCAGUUAAAACUAGCGAGACGAGUCUCACAUUGUUUGAUGCUUGCGAGUAUACUUGAACUUUAAGCCUGACGAAAACAUCAGGAUUUAAGGGAGGAGGAAUGUGCCACCUCCGAAAUUUGAAAUAAUCCUAUAUAUUAGGUAUAAUGGUACUAAAUCUUGAGUCCGGCUAGGAUACUAUCGAUAGCACCAAGCGUUUGAUGUUAUCAAGUUUUUCGCCGUUAGAUUUAAUUCUUUGACUAUUUUCACCUGUUAGAUUAUACUAUUAAACUAAUAACUCACUCAACCCUCAGGAACCCACAUCAUCCUAACUGUAUAUCUUUUUCAUUCAAGAGUCGAAAACCUAAUAGCACGAAUAGUUUGGUGCUAUUGAUAAUAUUUUCGGCAGUAGUUAGAUUCAAGAGAUUAAGAAGGUUAAACAUAAUAGAGUUAGAAUAGUUCUAAGAUGAGUAAUCCCUCUGAAAAACAGCACGCCACAAUUGAAAUUGCGACAAGUUCGAUGUACUUCUAAUUUUAACUCUAACAUAUAAUAAGCUUAAGAGACAAUUGCUUAUAUAUUCCUAAAAAGUUCACGUCUUUAUAAUUUACCCCUCUUAGAAAGUUAAUAGUGAAAACACUCUUUUUACAUUCCAACCAAUUUUCAAUAUGUCCCUGGAGUUAAAUUCUAUUAAUGAACUAUUAGCAAUAGCUGCUAUCUCUAUAAAAUUACUAUUUUGCCCUUUCAAAUAUAUCCUUCUACUAUCACUAAUUUUUCUUAUUUGCUCUUGAGUUAAGGACAAAAGAGGUAUUUUUAUUUUUAUUUUUUAACUUGAGUAGAUAUCUAACUCACAUUUAACCCAAGUUAAUUUAACGGAUGGUAACUGCAGAUAUAUUUUAAAAUAAUAGAGAAACAUAUGAGGAGUGUAUUGAAAAAAAAAAAAAAAGUAGGAAUAAAAUGAGACAUUUUUAAAGUUUGGAGCGGUAUAUAUAGGGCUGGCAAAUGAGCGAGCCGGCUCGCGUUCGACUCGCGUUCGACUCGAUAUUUGGCUCACUCGAGCUCGACUCGAAAUUAAAUGAGCCGAGCUUGAAAAAAAAAAAGGCUCGAAAUUCAUUUCAAGCCGAGCUUAAGUAUUACUCAGCUCGUUCGAAUUAGGCUCGAAAAGCUCGAAAAGCUCGAAUAUAUAUAUAUAGUAGAGCUACUAUACUAUCGAAAGUAUAGAGAUCUGGUGCUUUCGAUUUUUUGAUUCUUACAUCAAUCCCUUUAAUCGUUUUUUAUCUUUGGAUUAAUAUUAUUAUUACCUUGUAGGGACCACUCAAUCCUAAGAGUAAUAUUUAAUCUUAGAGGAGACCGCAAUCAUCCAAACCAUACAAUUUUUAAUCAAAUGGUCAAAAAUUCAAAAAUAUCAAAUUUUCUAUAUUUUUAAUAGCAUAGUAGUUCUACACUAUAUAUAUAUAUUAAAAAAUAUAUAAAUAUAAUAUAUUUUAAUUAUAUAUAGGCUGAGUGAAUAAUUUGAGUUUAGUUAAAAUUGGGCCAAUGUUGUUGGCCCAUAAAAACAAACCCAAUAGACAAAUAAAAGAGCAAAAUUUUACUAAAUUUAUAUAUUUUUUCUUUCUUUCUUUCUUUCACAUAGCUCUAAAUUUUCAAUAUGUUUCUCUCUUUCUCUUUUUCUGUCUCUCACCCUAAGUGGCCGAGCCGGAAGCCCUUUAAGUUACCAAGUAACAUCAUAUGCCUACCGUUGCCUACCUUGCUAUUAAUUGUAUGCUUGAGAAAAUAUACAGAAUAUUUUUAAAGUAAAAAAUUAUUAUUCGUAUAAAAUUUUAAUUUUAGUUAUAUAUGAUUGGAUAGUUUAAUCUAAUAUUUAUCUAUAUAAUUUAUUUAAUUUUGACUGCAUAAAUGAAAAUGAAUAAAUAGAGAUUGAAGGCGAAAGAAAAGACAUAUGAGACUGAAAAAAAUUAGAUAUUCAACUCAUAAAUUAUUUUUUUAUAUUAUAAUACUAUAUUUCAUAUAAUUAUUUUGUACUUUAAACUAUUAGACAUAUUUUUGUAUCAAAUUAUAGAUAAUGUUCUAUACAAAUUAAACUAUUGAUCGUAUAAUGUUGAGAAUUUCAAGCGGCUCGUUUAGGGCUCGAGCUCGCUCGACUUGAAAUUAGGCUCGCUCGAGCUCGGCUCGAAUUAAUUUCAAUCCAAACUUGAGCUUAAAUUUAGACUCGAAAUUAAUUUCAAGCCGAAUUUGAGCCAAGGUAAGCUCGCUCGAGCUCGGCUCGAUUCCACCCCUAGGUAUAUAGGCAAAUAUCUCUAAGUUUAAAUGUAUUAAACAAAACGCCAUAAUGGGUGCACCACUACAUGCUCUUCGUACAAGUGUGUACUAAUAACUAAUUACAUAAUUAGUUAAACCCUGUUUAAUUGCCACGUGGGUUUUUUUUUUUUUUUGGUUUUUUCCUAACGGUCAAAUAUUAGAUAUUUGCGCCUGAGAAUCCGCUUCUAAACUCACUCACCACUAAUUAUAUUUUAAAUAUUUAUUGUUUUUAAGAAUUUUAAAAAUUUGACACCUUGUGAGGGACAUCACAUAUGAAGUUAGAUUUGCAAUAAUACUUUAAUAAUUUUUUAAAAAUAUAAAUUAUAAUUUUUGUCCUCAAAUUAUGUGGCAAACACUUUAAUUCUUACACUUUAGUUUACCUUGCUUCUCCUCUCUCUUUCUCUUUUCUCUUUUUCAUUAUUUCCAUAAAACCAGUCAAACGACUUUUUCGCCUGGCUUAGACGUUUUUGCUUUUUACACCGGGCUAAAACGUUUUCGGGUUUUAUUCACUUAAAAAAUACGUUUUUCCGGAUUUUUGAAAAAAUUUUUUAUAAAUUUUAUUAUAUAAAAGUUUAAUUGAAAAUUUUCUCCUAUUUAAUAUGAAAACCAGGAUUUUUAGCAUUCCAUGUAACGUGAAACCAGGAGUUUAAAAUUAAAUAAUAUUAAUAAAUGAGCUUAAACGAUGUUAGUCCAGAGUGUUAAUUAAAUAAAAUUAAUAGAUUUAUAAUUAUAUAGCAAUUACACUUUUAUUACGUCGUUAGAACACUAACUAUUACGUUAUUAAUAAUUUGUCAUUGAGCAGUUAUAAAUUAAUUGAUUUAACCUAAUAUUUUUAAUAUUUUAAACUCAGUUUUUAAUGUNCCCUCACGGGCAUUUUGUCGAACACCUUGCGGGCUAGAACAAACAGAGGACUAAACAAACAGAGGACUAAACAGAGGACUCUCUCUCUCUCUCUCUCGCCUCCUCUGGUGGAGCUCGUCGAGGUGGAGAUAGAGGGCUCGCCGUCGGUCGUGGCGGCGAAGAGGAGGGCGGUGGGCGGAGAGCGCGCGGCGGCGGGGAGCUGCGCGCGGGGGCACGCGGGCGCACGCUGCGGCGCGCGGGCACGCUUCGGCGCGCAGGGGCGCCGACGCACGCUGCGGAGAGCGGGGCCGCGGGCGCGCGGGGCCGCGGGAGAGCCAGCGGAGGCGGCGCGCGGGCGCACGCGGCGCGGGGGCACGCUUCUCGCGGGCGCGCUCGGCGCACGCGGCGCGGGGGCACGCUUUGCGCGGGCGCGCAUGGCGCAUGCGGCGCGCGGGCGAGGACAGGGGCCACGACUCGCUGUCGUAGGCGCCGACGUAGUUGAGGCGCUUCCACGCCCAGCGCGAGCACCCCACUCACACCACGCACUCUAACCCACCCACCACAGACAUCGUCGACGACGACGACGACGACGAUGGUGGAGACGAAGAUGGAGAAGACGAAGAUGGUGGAGACGACGAUGGUGGAGACGACGACGACGCGGACGCGCUGCGGCUGCUUCUUCUUCGUCGUAAUGGUGUAAUGGUGCACCAUUACACCAUUAAUGGUGUAAUGGUGAAAUUACACCAUUAAUGGUGUAAUGGUGUAAUUACACCAUUAACGUUGCACGCGGCCCGCUGAGCGGAGCCGCGGGUGGAGCUCCGCCGGGCACAGCCGGCUGAGGGCCUCCUCGAAGGGGGAGCAAGACACCCGCGGAGAGAUUGAGGGAGGAGAUGUCGAGGGACGCGACGGUGCACUGGGACCCGGGCCGCCCGGGGGAGCAGGACACCCCGCGCCACGACACGCAGGGCUCCGACGAGCUGGCGUUGGACCACGAUGCAAGCGCACCCGACGGGUCCGCGAGCGCCGACCUCACUGCCAGAAGCGCCGCCACCUCCGCCGCCGCCGGCGACCCCUCCUCCGCCGCGCCGCCGCCGAGGACGACAACGAAGAAGAAGAAGAAGAAGAAGUUGAUCUCGCCAAAGGCAGGGAGGCAAUCAUGCGGGAUGAUCGGGCAGGCGCCCUUGUUCACUACAGCGAAUGCAGCCUGGACAGCUGUCAUGUUUGCAAAUGGGAGCAUCCCGGUGAUGAGCUCCCACAGCACAAUGCCGAAGCUGUACACGUCAACCUUUUGAUUAUAUGGUCUGUACUGGAUCAUCUCUCUGAAAAGUUAAAAUUAAUUGUUUAAGGACGGACCCAGCUAAAAGAAAAGAAACAACUUUUGCUGGCAAUUAUAGAUUUUGUUAAAAAAUUUCUUCUAGUCAGGUAGUCCGACCAAUAUUCUAGGACAUAUUAGAGAUAUCCAGCUACUGUUAUUAAUCACCACACCAGGUAUAGAUUUUCAUAUACCUACAUUGUUCUUUUCCAAAUAGAUAUGUAGGACAAAAAAUAUUAAGUUUUCGUGAUAAGCAGAGAAAAAAAAAGUAUGCAAUAGGUAAUUUAAACAUGAAAACAUCAGCAUUCUUCAUACCUCGUAACUUGUAAGUAUACGCCAAUAUGAACGAAUCCAAUAGCACAUGCAUCAAACUUAUUAAGUCAAUAAAUAUAUUUCAUUUAUAUCUUCUUCUUCUUCAUCGUCGUCCUCGGUGGCGGCGCGGCGGAGGAGGGGUCGCCGGCGGCGGCGGAGGUGGCGGCGCUUCUGGCAGUGAGGUCGGCGCUCGCGGACCCGUCGGGCGCGCUCGCGUCGUGGUCCAACGCCAGCUCGUCGGAGCCCUGCGCGUCGUGGCGCGGGGUGUCCUGCUCCCCCGCGCGGCCCGGGUCCCAGCGCGCCGUCGCGUCCCUCGACAUCUCCUCCCUCAACCUCUCCGCGGGUGUCCUGCUCCCCCUUCGAGGAGGCCCUCGGCCGGCUGCGCCCGGCGGAGUUCGCCUGCGUUCCGCUCCGCGGGCCGCGUUGCACCGUUAAUGGUGAAAUUACACCAUUACACCAUUAUGGUAUUAAUGUGUAAUGGUGGCACCAAUUACUCAUUACGACGAAGAAGAAGCAGCCGCGCGCGGCACGCGGUGCCAGCCUGCCGCCGGUGGUGCAGCUGCGCCCGUAUAAACAUUACACCAGUACGAAAAAACAAGAACACCAGCCGUCGGAGAUCGGACGGGGCCGACGUUCCUGCGGCCCGAAGCGCGGAGCGCCGGGCAGCGCGCGUGACAGGCGCCCUCGACCGCGCGACGUCCCCGGCUCGACGACCUGCUCCCACUCGCCCGCCCGCCUCCCGGCGCCCCACCUCGCCUGCGGCGCUCGCCGGUCGCCGUGCCGACCUCCCUGCAGAAUCGUCGCCGGUGGACGCCGCUGCGAUGCGGACAAUCGUCGUGGCGCGCCCCGUCGCUCUUUACAGAAGAAGAAGAAGAAGAAGUAAGAAGAAGAGGAAAAAAAAAAGUGGCUCCACAGAAGGAGGAAGAAGAAGAAGAAAGAAAAAGAAAUCAGAGAAAAAAAAAAAAAGAACACGCGCGAGCGGGUCCGUCGGCGGAAAAAAAAGAACAAGAACGAAGAGGAGAGAUAGAAAGAGGAAAGAGUGAAAAAGUAUAUAAGGGAUUUGGUCAGUUUGCUGAAAAAGUCGGACGCGGAUCUAUAAACACGAAAAAGGUGGUCCGAUUUUGGCAGAAAGCCCAAAAUAAAUAAAUUUUUAAUCAAAAGGCAAUGUUUUACCCACCCAUAUAUCUAAGUUAGGUGCAUAUACAUCUAAAACCAAUACCACUCUUAAAAAAUCAUCACCUCCCCGCAUUGAUUUUUCUUUUGAAAUAGCAAACUCACCCCCCUUUUAUUUUUUUUUUGUCAAUCUUUCUCCUUUAAAAGAAAAAAAAAAAACUACUAAGGUGUUAAUUAAAAAAGGGUUAAUACCCUUCCUCCAAUUCUUAAUUACACAGAAAUUUCUCUAAAAUAUUAAUAUAAAAAAUAUUCCUUUAAUUUAGAGAAAUUUUUAUAAGUAUCUAUAUUGACAACAAUUCAUCUAAAAAUAAAUAUAUAUUUUUUAUUUUGUCUAACAUAAUAGCUAGUUUAAAAGGACCGGCAUUCUGUCCUGUGGCCGAAGGACAGAUUGAUCAAAUCAUAUUCAGAAUAGCAUGAGACUAAUUGAACUGAACCACUAUAAAAAUUCGUGAACGUUAUAUCUGUACAUUCUAAGUAAAUUAAUCACGUAAGUCUACCCCAUUAAGCUUUUGGGAUUAAUAAUUAUUGUCAGAGAUUCGAAACAUAUAAGUUAAAACUCAUAAUAAUUUUGAAGAACUAUCAAUAAUAUUUUAGAAUUUUUGAGAAGGGAAUCUUAAAAAAAAUAAAAAACAAGCAAAAUUGAGGAGGGCUAUUCUAGAAUGUCACAUAAUUGAGCUACUUUCCAUACAGUUUGUACUUGUGAUCUUUUUCAUAUAUAGUCUAGCAAUCUUGGAAAUGUCCCUACCAUUAUUUUGCAUGUUGUUGUUAUCCACCUAAGUCUCUCUCUCUCUCUCUCUCUCUCUCUCUCUCUCUCUCUCUCUCUCUCUCUUAUUUGUUGGCCAAUAGAAGGAAUUCCUUAAUCCAACUCCUUUGUUUAAGACUUGCAAGGAGGGGUUUGUAGUCCAUCAAAGCUUAAUAAGUGCCAUCUCGCGUUCACACGCUGUCGACGCUACUGACACGCAACACAAAUUUAGAAACUGUUUGGUUGUAUAUAAUUAUAACUGUACUGUACUUGUAACUGCAUACAUAGUUAAAAUUAUUAUACUCUUAUAAGUAUAACUGUACUAUACUUGCCAUUCAGAAAUAAAAAGACCCAGCCUUUUAUCUUUUUUAUUUUUUAUUUUUUCAAAAUCUCCUAAAUAGUAGCAACUAAUAAAGAUGCCAACAAUCUAAAAGCCACUUUUUAUUAGGGCAUUAAGACACUUUUUUAUGUUCUCUACUUUUAAUCAUUACCAAAGUAAAAAUAAAGCCUUUUAUUCUUCUCAUCUCAUUUUAUUAGCUUCUCUCAAUCAUGACAAAAAAAAAUGAUCCUCCUUUUUAUCGCAGGUCACUGUGCUUGGCUUUUCAAACGGACGAAUCCCAAAAUCCCUUCAAUUAUUUAUUAAUUAAUGAAUGAAAAAGCCAUACGCAUCCCCUUUGCUUCCUUAUCUAGCCAUGUGAUGUGAUCCAUUAAGGUGGAAGGGAAGGAAAAAAAAGGAAAAAAAGAAACAAAAAAAACCCACCACUGCCAUGGUUUCCUCUAUUCCUUCCACACCUCCUUCUCCUUCUCCUUCUCCUUGGUUGGUGUCUCUUACUUGCUCAGCUUCCGCUUCCUCGCCCCAUUCUUUCCUCCAAUGGCUCCGAUUCCUCCUCCUCUCGCCCUGCCCCCAACGCAUCCUCGCCGUCGCCGUCGACGCCGCCUUCCUCUCCGCCCUUCUCGUCAUCGCCCUCCUUAAACUCGCUUCAAGCCGCAAUCACUGGGCCGCCGUCGAAUGCGCGCUGCUCGCGCUCCACUUCCUCGCCCACCUCGCCGCCGCCGCCGCUCUUAUUAUACACAGGCGAAACCUUACAUCCGCGACGAUCCGGGUCUUCUGGAUCGCNUCCUCCAAUGGCUCCGAUUCCUCCUCCUCUCGCCCUGCCCCCAACGCAUCCUCGCCGUCGCCGUCGACGCCGCCUUCCUCUCCGCCCUUCUCGUCCUCGCCCUCCUCCGUCUCCGUCCCCGCUCCGAUCACUGGGCCGCCGUCGAAUGCGCGCUGCUCGCGCUCCACUUCCUCGCCCACCUCGCCGCCGCCGCCGCUCUUAUUAUACACAGGCGAAACCUUACAUCCGCGACGAUCCGGGUCUUCUGGAUCGCCACCUUCGGCGUCGCCGCGCUCUUCGCCGCCGCCGCGGCGCUCCGCUUCUGCAACGCCGCCGCCAUCCUCCCCGACGACGCCGCCUCCCUCGCCUUCCUCGCCGCCGCCGCCCCCCUCCUCUUCUUCGCCGUCUCCGGCGACGCCGAAUCCGCCGCCGGCGCCGGCGACGUGACCCCCUACGCCGCGGCGUCGCUGCUCUCCCGCGCGACCUUCUCGUGGAUGAACCCGCUGAUCUCGAAGGGCCACCGCUCGGCGCUCGGGAUCUCCGACAUCCCGUGGCUGCCCCCGGACGACUCCGCCGGCCGCAUGAACGCCCUCUUCCGGUCCAAUUGGCCGGCGGCGGCGGACGCGCAGCCGGCCCGGCGGCCCGUGCUGACGACGCUCCUCCGCUGCUUCUGGCCGCGCUUGCUGCUGAACGCGGGGCUGGCGGUGGUCCGGCUGCUGGUGAUGUACGUCGGGCCGACGCUGAUCCAGCAGUUCAUCGACUUCACCUCGAGCGACCGGCGGCGAAGCGGGUCGGCGGGCGAGGCGGCGUACCUGGUGGGCACGCUGCUGGCGGCGAAGCUGGUCGAGGUGGCGUGCUCGCACCAGUACAACUUCCACUCGCAGAAGCUGGGGAUGCGGAUCCGGUCGGCGCUGAUCACCGCACUGUACGGCAAGGGGCUGCGGCUCUCGUGCGCGGCGCGGCAGGCGCACGGGGUCGGCAUGAUCGUGAACUACAUGGCCGUGGACGCGCAGAUGAUCGCCGACAUGAUGAACCAGGUGCACUACCUCUGGCUGAUGCCGCUGCAGGUCGGCGUCGCGCUCGCGCUGCUCUACGCGUACCUGGGGCCCUCCGUGACCUCCGCGGUGGUCGGCAUCUUCGCGGUGAUGGCGCUCGUGAUGCUGCUGACGCGCCGCAACAACGUGUACCAGUUCCUGCUGAUGACCAUGCGCGACCGCCGCAUGAAGGCCACCAACGAGAUGCUGGCGAACAUGCGCGUCAUCAAGCUCCAGGCCUGGGAGGAGCAUUUCCUGCGGCGCAUCCAGCUGCUCCGCGACGGCGAGUACGGCUGGAUCGCCAGGUUCAUGUACUCCAUCUCCGGGAACAUGAUCGCGCUCCAGAGCGCGCCGCUGCUCGUGUCGGCGCUCGUGUUCGGGACGUGCGUCGCCGUGGGGGUGCGCCUCGACGCCGGGCUCGUGUUCACGGCCACGUCCUUCUUCAAGAUCCUGCAGGAGCCGGUGCGCAGCUUCCCGCAGGCGCUGAUAUCCGUGUCGCAGGCCAUGAUCUCGCUGGAGCGCCUCGACAAGUUCCUCGGCAGCCGCGAGCUCGACCGGGGCGCGGUGGAGCGGGUCCCCGCCGCCGCCGCCGCCGUCGAGGUGCGCGGCGGCGCGUUCGCGUGGGACGACGAGGCCGCGGCCGACGCCGCGGAGCUGAGAGGCGUCGACAUGGAGAUCCGCCGGGGCGCGCUCGCCGCCGUGGUCGGCACCGUCGGCUCCGGCAAGUCCUCGCUGCUCUCCUGCCUCCUCGGCGAGAUGCACAAGAUCGCCGGAAAGGUAAUCCAACAACAUACCUUCCUUCUCUACCACAUCCUCACUCCUUGUUCUCAUCGUUACCAUUCAAUUCAAAAGUUACAUAAACAAGUAAAAAAAAAUUAUUUCUUCUUGUUUGGUUAGGUAAAAUAUUUUACGAAUUUAGAAAAAAAAAAAAUCAAAGUUUUCCUUUUUCGUUGUUUUUCCGAAGAAAACGAAGCCAAGGUGCCUAAAAUCUUUCACGUUUUUUUUUUUUUUUUUUUUUUUUUUUUUUUUUUUUUUUUUUUUUUUUAUACCACACCGAACAAAUGUAGAUCUUUCAACUAAAUAAAUAUUGAUAGUUUUUUUUUUUUUGGGAAACCUUAAAAACUCCCGCUUGUGGUUUCAUAGUUUCUCACUUUGCUUCCCUGUGGUUUAAAAUGUAUCAAUUUGUUCCCUGUGGUUUUGUUUCUCAUUUUUUUUUUAUCAAUUUUAUUAUUUUUUUUUUCUUAAAAUCAGUAAAUGAAAGAUUAAAUUAAAGAGUAUAAAAGUGAAUAUUUUGGUAAAUCAGAUGGGUGUCUGAAGUUUUUUAAUAUAUAAUUUAACGAAAUAUUACCGAAAGAUAAAAACGAAACCACAGGGGGCGAAAUUGAUACAUUUUAAAUCACAGUGAGGCAAAUUGAGAAACUACGAAACCAUAUGGGGGGUUUUGAAGUAUCCCUUAUUUUUUUUUUUGGGACAAACCAAAUAAAUAUUAAUGAAAAAUAUUGGUUUUGUACAAACUAAAAAGCAUAAAAUUUUUUUCCUACCAAAAAUAUUAUAGCACUUGAACCAAACAUCCCCAUAGAUCAUUAUCGAAAUAUAUCACAUAAUUAGCUAUUUCUUAUUAAAUUAUUGUUACAGUGAAAACAUGCAAUUUGGACGAAAUUCAAAUUAGCAUAAAACCUCUGGCACGGAAGGAGUUUAGUAGCCGGUUGGUUGCACCUAGUAGUUAUUUCUGUAUUACAUUUUUUUAAUUAUAUGCAUAUUAAAUAUAGUGGGUCCGUGCAUUUGACUAAAAUUAUAUGUAAUUAAAAUUGUACUACAAGAUUUAAGUUAAACUUAAUAACUAAAUUCCGUAAAAAGAGUAAAAUAAAUAACUAAUAGCUGUGUGAAAUUAGUGUUCAUUUAUGCAAGGUCACGAGAAGUGCAAGUGGGUAAAAUGCGCCGUGAAUAAAUACCACAUAAAUACGUUCUGGGACGAGCACCGUGCUAACGCGAUGGGUAUCACGUGCGAGGUUUGGUGUGUGUAUAUAUAUAUAUAUAAUAUAAUAAUAUUAAAAUUAUAUAUAUUAUAUAUUAAUUAUAUCAUAUACACACACCAAACCUCGCACGUGAGUGAGAGAGAGAGAGAGAGUGUCCGGUAUGUAAAAGCACCAAGCACUUGGGUGCUUGUGAAUUUUUAACCUUAAAUUUACACCUUUGAUCAUUUUCACCCAUUAAAUUAUACUUAUUCACCAACCACCGCCACUCAACCCUAAGGGGUUCACAUCAUCCUAACCACAAUAUCUCUUAAUCCAAGGGCCGAAAACUUACAAGCCCAAUAACUUGGUACUUUAAAAGUAUAGAGACGUCAAUUAAGAUAAUAUAUAUAUAUAAUUUUAUUAUUAUUAUUUUUUUCUUUGCGAGAGAAGGCUACGAGAUUCUGUUUCCAUGUGCUGGUCUGCAAGUUCAGAUUUUAAAAAGUUAUUCAAAAUCUGCACCCUGCAGUACUAUUGAUAUGUUGGAAUGCAUAUGUGGGCAUGCUAAAGAUUCUUUAUAGAUUCCGUUUGGUUCAAGAACAAGCUAUUUUUGUUUAUUCUUGGAAUAGGUAUAAUUUUUGGGAUAGAUAGGAAUUAAUUCAAUUUUGUGUUUGAACAAGAAUCAAGAUAUUUAGAGGAAUAAGAAAAAUUACGUUUGGUUGAUUGGGUUGGAAUAGUAAAUAAUAAGUAUCUAACUAUUAGUAAAUAAUAUUUUAAUAAGUUAAUGAAUAAAUUAAUCUAAAUUACUUUAUAAAUUAAUUAAAAUUACUAUAUGAGAUGACAAAGAUGUCAUUAACUAGUAAAUAAAUAACUAUAAAAAAAUAAGUCAAUAUGUUAAUAUUAAUUAAUUAUUUAAUCAUUCAUGUUUUUAGUUAAUAUAUUAAUUAUAUAAAUUAAAAUACUAAUAAUUGUUUAAAUAAUAUAAAUAUUAGUUAAUGUUUGAAUAAGCAUAUCAUAUAGAUAAAUAAAUUCUUAUUUAAAUAUUUAUUAAUUUAAUAAGUUAAAUAAUUAAUUAGUCAAUUAUUAAAAAAAUUAAUUGCAUUAAUUAAUUAUAAUUUAUAAUUAUUUAUAACUUAAUUAGUAGAGGAAUAAGGUAAAGAAUAGCUUAUUUCACCCAAUGAGUGGAACUACUAUUCUCCCCUCUUAACGGGUUAUUUCGGAAUAACCCGUUAAGAGGAGAAUAGUAGUUCUUAGCAAUUUUUAAUACCGUUUGGAGGAAUAAAAGGAAUAAACCUCUCAUUCUUUCCUAAUCCUUUGAACCAAACGGGGCCUUAGUGUUUAGUAAUGAUGUUUAGAAUAUAAUAAUGAUGAUACUAUGCCGUCUACAACAUUGUGGGGGACCCAAAUGGGGUACCCAUAGCGAUGCUACAAUAGAGAAAUGCUUUCGGUCGCUAGCGAUGUUGUUUCUAUAUAUUGUUAAUAUAUUGACAUUUGCAACGUAGAUGCCUGCUUAUGCACGCAAUGCAAAGUGCCACAUUGAUCUGUCAACAUAGCAACGAUAUGUAAAAGCAGCAUUGUGAGAGACCUAUUGCAGCACUCAUUCGAACUACUGUAAGAUAUUAAAAUUAGAAUAUUAGAAAUAUUAGACACAAAAAUGUUAAGGUGAAAAAUUUUACUACCACUAUAGGUCAUUUUGAUUUCGCUAUCCAACCUUUCAAAAUUUUGACUUUACUGCCCAACUUUUUAAUUUAUUUGAUUUGAGCCGGUCAACGGCACUUUGACUUCAAAAUUUGAAUAUGUCGUUUAUCUUUACAAGUUUAGUUAGUAUACUUCAUGCAAUUCUCACAAUUAUAAAUUCAUUAAAAUGAGUAAUUAUUUUAAAUUUUGAAGACAAAUGUGUCGUUGACUAACUCAAAUCAAAAAGCAAAACUUUGAACAGGUUGGGUAGCAGUUCAGGUAAGUUUUGUACAUUUUUACCGAAUGUUAACUUACAAAGUACUUAUUAGCAUUGGCUUGUAGUUUAGGUAGCUUUCUUUGUUUUUAAUUUACUUGGAGUUUUGAUAUAAUUUGGAAUUGCAUUGUCAAAUGUACCUACUUUGAUACUUUGAAAUGUUACAAAAAUUUAGUAGUGCUUUAAAAUUCCCUUCCUCCAACACAAUAAAAUAGUGGUGGGAACUGCUACUAAAGAAGCAUAUUCCAAAGAAUUUUCAAGUUUUUCCAUCUUCUUAAAAGCAUAAAAAUGGAUUUAUUUAGACACCACAAUCUCAAUCUAGGCACUAGUCUUAGUGUUUAUAUGUGCUGUACUGCACAAACAUUUGGAGCCCACACCUGUAUGUGCAUUUUUUGGCACCCACUACAUGUGGUCCAUAGCACAUGCCAAAUUCCAUGUGUGGUUUCUUUUGCUCUAGAAUAUUAGUGUGAGAUUCUAUUUUCAUGAAUUGAAGCACAAAAACUCCAAUACAAGGUCUAGAAUAGGACAGGACUUGUACAUACUUUAUGUAUGUCCAUGUUUUUAAAUAAUUUAUGUAGAGAUUUUUUUCUUUUUUUUUUUAUCUCGGGUAAUGCUUCUUGUACUUCAUGAGAUUUUCAGAAUAUUAUUGAUGAGUCAGUAAACGCGUGAUAGCUAGUGAUUGGUUUAACUUUUUAGCAUUAAUAUUGGUGGCACAUUGCUACACUUUAAUUUUAAAAAGUUAAACCAAUCACUAAUUAUCAUAUGUAUAAUACUGACUCAUCAAUAAUAUUCUGAGUGUCUUUCAAGGUACAUGUGGUAUAUUGUAGAAAUCAUUAGAUCCAUAACAUAGGGUGAGUGUGUUAGGUAGAAAAGUCCAAAUCUGAAUAAUUAAUGUUUGAAUAAAUUCGCAAAAGGAAUCUUUUAUAUAGAAACAUUGAGCUAAACUCAGAUGCAGCUGCAUUACACCUAAGGGUACGAUUAUUUAUUUUUUUUACUAAUAUAUUUCAUUUUCUAGUGAGUAAAGCCCUUUGAUCUUCCUCUAGUUUUGCUUUUGCUUCUUUCUUAAAAGGAAGGUGUAGGAUUUGGGAGUUUAGGUUGAGGUAGAUUGAGCUACAGCUUGUGUUUCUUAGGUAAUGAAUUCAGGAAAUAGCAUGCCAAAAAUAGAAGAAAAAAAAAAAGCUAAGAGAGGUGCAUAUGAUAUAGGACAAGCCUUGUUCAUACUAUAUCAAAAAAAAUCGUUACAUAUUUGUAGUUUACCAUCUUGUGGUUCAAAAUGUAACACUUCGAUAUCCUUAUGGUUUCAAUUUCAGUUUUACAUUAGGACUUUGUGAUUAUAUAGGGUAACAAAUGCUACAUUUUAUAGAUAAAGGAUAGUAAAAUGCAAAACACAUGAUAGCAAUGUGUUGCUUGUUACUAACCAAUAGUUUAUACAAUGUAGCAUUUUGCUAUCUUUCUAACUUCAUGAGUUUUUAAAUGGAGUUUAGGCUGUGGUUGAUGAGAUAUAGGUAGUCUAUUUAUCUGGAUUUGCAUGAUAAGGUAAUGAAGCUAGGAACGAAAGCAGAGAAAAGGACAGAUAGUUGCAUAUGUAAUAGGACGAACUUUGUACAUCCUUUAUCUAAUUUAAGACUGUUAUUUGAAUAAUCAAUUUGAGAGAAAACAGCUUAGAAAUGGUCUUAACAUCCCCACGCACGUGCAUGACCGAUAUGAAAAGAUGAGAUAGGAUCUUGAUUCUUGGUUAUAAGAUUUCGAUAUAACUCAAUUGGAUUUUCAUAUGGAGAUUUAAUCCUUUAAAUGUGUGUUAGGAAUCGAUUCCAUGAUGUUAUGGAGUUGAUUUGAUGAAAACAACCCAGGUAUUCUUCUAUUACAGAGAAAAGAACUUACAAGUCUGCACCAAGAAGAUUACCAGGUACACUGCAGGUGGGAUACUGCAAUGCUGUUGUGUUGUUGCUGACACGGCGAAGCCUCGUGCGCUGUGCAGCUGCAGGCAUUGUUAUUGAUGUGCAAUGAUUGAUAAUUGAGAAUACAGUGUUGUUCAUAUUCACUACUUAUCCGAUUCUUAAGCCGGUCGAUAUCUUGAUCUCUACAUGGACUAGCCAUGCCCGAGUUUUGUAAAACUAGAUCUGCUCUAAUUAUCAGCUUUAGUAUACUCAAUGUGUUUUAAUUUACUGCGUUCGCUAUGCCUUUAAAGUCGACAUCUAAGUUCAUGAUAUUAUGGGGAUUCCAUAAAUCUACAAAUUCUUGUGUAAUUUCUGUAAGGAACAAUGUAGCAAGCCCAACUUUUUCUUUGUUCUUUGUUCUUUGUUCUUUGCGCUUGGUUUAAAUGUUUUUCAAAUGCUAUUGUAACAGGUUAGAGUAUGCGGGACGACAGCAUAUGUUGCGCAAACGGCGUGGAUCCAAAACGGGACCAUUCAGGAUAACAUCUUGUUUGGACAGCCGAUGGAUCGAGAGAAGUACAAGGAGGUCAUACAGGUCUGUUGCUUGGAGAAGGAUCUGGAGAUGAUGGAGUUCGGGGACCAAACGGAAAUAGGCGAGAGAGGGAUCAAUCUGAGCGGCGGACAGAAACAACGUAUUCAGCUCGCGAGGGCCGUCUAUCAGGAUUGCGAUAUAUACCUCCUCGACGAUGUCUUCAGCGCUGUCGAUGCUCACACCGGUUCAGAGAUCUUCAAGGUGAAUUAUGUCCUAUAUUUGUCUUGGACAUGUAAAAGUUACAACUAAUGUCAUUUUUAAGGCAAUGAGAGUAGAAAUGAAGAAGUGCUAGGCAAGUUAGCGCGUCUUUCGGCGUCAGAACAAGUUAUUUUCCAGAAUUAUAACCAUUAGUUAUGUUCACAGGAAUGCAUACGAGGAGCACUUAAAGAGAAGACUGUCGUGCUCGUGACUCACCAAGUGGAUUUCUUGCACAACGCCGACGUCAUAUUCGUGAGUACCAUCUUCUUGUAGUAAACAGUUAACCUGUCAACCGUCAUCCAUUUCCCUCGCAAAGUCGAGCGUGUAUUUAAUGCUUAUUAUAACAUGUAACAAACGAAUCAUAGGUCAUGCGAGACGGGAUGGUUGUGAAGUCCGGAAAAUACAAUGAGUUGCUCGAAUCAAGUACGGAUUUCGCAGCUCUUGUUGCUGCUCAUGACAGUUCCAUGGAGCUUGUAGAGCACAGUGGCUCUGCAGGACAAACUGGUGACCCCCUGUCUGGAGCCAACAUUGAACCAGUUUUGAUCCGCAGCAUAUCUAGUGGGGAAAGCGCGCUGGGGCCCGUGAUCUCGCCGAAGGCUGAGGUGGCUACCUCUAGACUUAUAAAGGAAGAAGAGAGAGAAACCGGCCACGUCAACUGGCACAUAUACAAGCUGUAUCUCACCGAGGCGUGGGGCUGGUGGGGAGUGAUCGUCGUCCUGGUGCUCUCGGUGCUGUGGCAGGGCGCACAGAUGUCGAGCGACUAUUGGUUGGCGUACGAGACGUCGGAUGACGUCCUUAACUCGUUCCGUCCAUCCAUUUUUAUCGAAGUUUAUGUAGCUAUAUUCGUGGUUUCAGUCGUCGUCGUCAUGAUCAGGGCCUUUGUUGUGACACAGCUGGGGCUUCAAACAUCUCAGAUAUUUUUCAGGGGGAUCUUAACCAGCAUCCUGCAUGCUCCGAUGUCGUUUUUCGACACCACUCCUUCUGGAAGAAUCCUAAGCCGGGUAAUUUUUCACUUCAUCAACUUCAAUCAAUUCAAGGCUCCUUAUCUGUUACUUCAGUGAUUAACAGAACAAGUUUCGAGGUUCAUUUUUUUGCUUCUUUGCAUAUGAUAUGUCAUUGAAGUUCUUGUAGCGCGCUGCUCACCAACCAGUAUGCUUCUUUUCAGGCAUCAUCGGACCAAACAAAUAUCGAUAUAAUCCUUCCCUUCUUCCUGGGACUGACUGUGUCGAUGUACAUCACGGUGAUAAGCGUCGUCAUAGUUACAUGUCAGGUUGCGUGGCCGUCGGUCAUAACCAUAAUUCCUCUGGUGUGGCUGAACCUCUGGUACAGGGUGAGUUCACCGUGUUUAAAAUGCACAAUACAUGUCUACUCGGCUCUCCGCUUCUUAGUUAUCUUGUUCUUUUCAAACAACGAAUUUAUUUUGAAAAUGAUCUUUUAAUCAUAUCCCUCCAAAAGUUCGAAAACAUCACAGAUGCCCCUGCAAAGUACUUAUUGAAAAUUCGGAAUCAUAUCUUUGCAAAACAUGGCCAUUUUUGCAUAUGUUGGAUCUAUCUAUGGGCAUUUAUGAUAUUUUCAACGUUUGGAGAGAAUACAGAGAAAUGGUGAGGACUGAUAACUGUACUAGUGGAAAAAUGCACCUCACUAACAAAUUCAGGCAUGCAUUAUAUUCUUAACUGAUAUCUCUGUUGUUUCUCUUUAGGGUUAUUUUAUCGCGACGUCUCGUGAACUGACUCGCCUUGACUCGAUCACAAAAGCACCAGUUAUCCAUCAUUUCUCGGAGACCAUUCUCGGCGUUACCACCAUCAGAUGCUUCAACAAGGAGGAUAGCUUUUUCAAUGAAAACUUAAACCGGGUUAAUUCGAGCUUACGUAUGGACUUUCACAAUAAUGGUGCUAAUGAGUGGCUCGGGUUCCGACUGGAACUCAUCGGAAGCUUCGUUCUUUCUAUCACCGCUUUGCUCCUGGUCAGCUUGCCUCGCAAUUUUAUCGAACCAGGUAAUGAUCUGAAGUGUAUAAGACAAGUCUGAUUGGACAUUUCCAGCAUUCAAUCACCAUCUUUUUUAUGGUUGCAAUGAAUUCUAUUAAACCAUUUUAGCACUAAUUUAAGUUACUAUACUGGAUUUUUCUCAACUAGUAAUGACUCAAGUCUAAUUACAGAGGAUUUGAUGCAAUGAAAUCGAGACUUGUAGAUAUUUUUCAGAGCUUCAGAAAUGUAAGAACUGACACGGCUUCAUUCGAUGCAGAAUUCGUUGGUCUAUCUCUUUCCUACGGUCUGUCUCUCAAUGCCGUGGUGUUUUUUGCGAUAACGGUUAGCUGCGCAAUCGAGAACAGGAUGGUUUCAGUGGAGAGGAUAAAACAAUUCACCAACAUUCCUUCUGAGGCACCAUGGAGGAUCAAAGAUUGCCUCCCCUCGCCAAAUUGGCCCACCAAAGGAGAUAUUGAUAUCAUUGAUCUAAAGGUUCACUAUUCAUGUACUAGAAUUUUAUCAUACCACAUCUUUAAAACUACUGGUUCUUUUCAAGCAUAAUAAUCAUACCAUAUCUUCCGAACUCGAUUUCCUAUGCAAAUAUGCCCUUAUUUCGAGUUUGCGAUUAAUCCAUUCUAUAUGGCCAAGUUGUUUUUUUUUUUGGAAUAUUAGGGAAAGUUUUUUAAAGACGAUCACUUUUGUAACUAGUUGUUGUAGGGCAUUCCGUAAGUUCUAGGAUUGCCUACUUAUUUUUCUGCAUUUCUUUUUGUGACUAUUCUCGUCUAUAAUAUCAGCUUUUGCCAACAUAAACAAAAGAAGUGUUAAUUUGCAUUCUCAUCAUACUUUAGGAGGUGAUUUAAUAAUACAUUUGAUUUACACAGGUUCGGUAUCGCCCGAAUACUCCUCUGGUUUUGAACGGAAUUUCAAUAAGCAUUCGAGGAGGAGAGAAGGUAGGAGUUGUUGGUAGAACCGGUAGCGGCAAGUCGACAUUGAUACAGGCUUUGUUCCGACUCGUGGAGCCUUCUGGAGGGAAGAUAAUCAUUGACGAAGUCGACAUAUGCACGUUGGGCCUUCACGAUCUCAGGUCUCGUUUCGGUAUAAUUCCUCAGGAGCCCGUUCUCUUUGAAGGAACAAUUCGGAGCAACAUCGACCCUAUUGAACAAUACUCAGACGACGAGAUAUGGCAGGUAUAAGUGGUAUACACGUAUAUCUCGUAUUCGUGCGGUUUUUGGUGUCUAAACUUACCGUAGUGUUUUUUUUUUGACUUCUUGAAGGCCCUCGAGCGUUGCCAGCUAAAAGAGGCAGUAGCUUCGAAACCUGAAAAGCUUGAUGCAUUAGGUAUGUUGUUUGUUUUUAUUUGGUUUUUUUUGAAUAGCUGAAAUACCGACUAACUUCAAUCAUAGAAUGAUGUGCCAAAAGAAGCGACAGAAAGUUGAAUGCAUCUUGAGAUGAACUUCUCUCUUUAUGUUAUUGUUCCUUAGCACUUGUAAGUCAUCUUUGGAAAGGUUCUACCGCAUUUUUAUGUUUUUGCUGCGAAGAGAACCCACUGGAUGUAUAUGGGAAACAUCUAUAGAUGUUAUUGUUUGAUCAGGGUGAAGGCAUCAUCUUUACAUCUUUUUCUAUUGAGUGGACAUCUCGAGCUGAACCCGUCGAUACUGCUAAUUUUUUGUUUUCAGUGGUUGAUAACGGAGAGAAUUGGAGUGUGGGGCAGAGGCAGCUUCUUUGUCUGGGCCGUGUUAUGUUGAAGCGUAGCAAAAUUCUGUUCAUGGAUGAGGCGACUGCUUCAGUCGACUCGCAAACUGAUGCGGUAAUCCAAAGGAUCAUCCGAGAGGACUUCGCAGCUUGCACGAUCAUCAGCAUAGCGCACAGAAUACCAACAGUCAUGGACUGUGACCGAGUCUUGGUUGUAGAUGCAGGUAAAUGCUGGAAAAACUCUUCGAUGAUCUGUGAUUUUCGCAUUGAAUUGUGAGCGAAGUGAUAGAUAUAAUCGAAGGAAAAACAUUAAGGAGACAUAAUAACAAGAUGUUCUAGUUCGAGGGGGCAGUAGAUAGGUUCGAAUAUUGGUUUAGGACAAGUGAAAAAUCAUAAUUCUUAUAUGUUUUUAUGCAGCAAAAUUUAUCAUCUCUACUUUCGCACAUCAAGAACUAAUCCGAGUCCUUAUCGAUGAAUAUCUGAAUCUAGUUAUCACUUCCUUUUUUUUUUUUCUUGAUUGAUGCUUUUAAAUGUAGUAUUAACAUAAUUCCGUGAACCAGGACGCGCAAAGGAGUUCGACACACCAUCAAACUUGCUAGAACGGCCUUCGCUCUUUGCCGCGUUGGUUCAAGAGUACGCCAACCGGUCGUCUGAUCUCUAGAGCCACUCAGUAAUGCUGAAUUUUUGGUCGUGUAUUAGUUUCCCUGCUUAACAGAGAAACACAAGGGACUCGGAACCCAUAGCGCGAAUUUAGGGCAUCAUGCGACGAGCUCGGUAACAACAAGGAAUUCGGAAAGUGACUAGCCAAAAGAAGAUCUUGAUCCUUGUGAGAUGAAUCUACAUGGAAUUGGCGGUUUAUUAAUGCACUUUUUCAUGAGUAGACCAUUUUUUUUUUUUUUCUUUUAAACCAAUCCCCUCUACUAUUUCUACUCAUAAUUGAGCAAUAUCUUCAUCGAACUCGAUCAUAUCAGAGUUAUGUUGUAUUGUAAACUGUACUGUGUACCGCUAAAAUUCAGUAAAAACAGUGAGCUGCAGAAGAUUCAGUGCUUUGUAUGCUCAGGAUUUGAACCAAGCUUCUAGAUCUUUUAAUUUGUGUUAUGAUUUAUAUUUCUUGCAACAGUAAUUACCAUGGAAUUUAUUCAAAAAUGCAUUUUAAUGUAUCUAUCCAUGCUGAUGUUGUUUUGUUGUUUCACGGAACAAGCAAUUUUUUUGGUACAAAUUUGAUAAAAUGUGCUUGUUUUGUUCUUGUUACUUGAUCUCUCUCCUUUUACGCGGAAAUUCCUUUGGCGCCGAAAAUGAUGAUUAAUUAAGAUGGUUAGAAACUGGAAAUGGUGUCAGCUUCUUAGGAUGUGCAGUUGCUGCAAUCGUCAGACGGUUGCGAUCGCUCGAUCGUAGACAAGUGCAGUCACUUCAAUUGGCAUCGAAAUUUCAGAUGAUCAUGAUGGAAUUUCCUUCAAGGAAAAUUUCAAAAUCUCACAUUACAAAAAAGCAUCAUUUCCUCUCUUUCUUUCUUUUUUUUUUGGUAGAUAUUUUUCCACUGUACCUCUUGUUGCAGCAGUUAAACACUGCAGUACUUCAGAUUCUGCAGUGAGAUUUGGAGCAAAAAAAUAUAUGGGUACUCGUCCCGCUGCGUGAUAGUUUAAUAUAUCAUUCAUAGUACUUUAAGAUUCGAGCAUUGCAUGUGAUGAACGGCUGAUUAGAUGAUUCUAUUUGUUUAUCAAAUGAAAAAUGCCAAACCACUGGCACUAUUCAUACUGCUGUAAGAUUCGAGUACUGUAUGUGAUUGAUAAUUGAUUAGACAAUUUCUGUUUGUUUAUCAAACAGAAAAAACACCAAACCACGUAUGUUCAAUAAUUCUCACUCAAUAUUGCUCCAAAACAAAGGAAAAAAAUAAAUCCACCUGUAUCCAAAAUUUCCUUUUAAGGUUAACUAAUAGCAUCUCAACUGGGCUUUCUCUCUCUCUCUUUUUUCUUUUGGCAAAAAGAAUUCUGCAAGAAAUUUAUUUGGAAAUUUAAACCUUGGAGCUAAAUAUGGCAAGGAAUUCACUGUUUUCUAAAGAUGGUAAUUCAGUGGCAAUCUAAACUCUAAACCAUAAAUUUUAAGAGUUUUCUACUAGAUGUUUCAAUUUUACUAAAAAUUAUAUUAAAAAUAAAAUUUUGAUAGUAUUUAAUUAAUUUAUUAUAUUUUACAGUAUUUUACAAAUAAAUAUUAGCCAAACAGCAUUCACUUACAGAUAGGAAAAUAUCCUGUUUAUUGUAGCAAAUUAUGGCCAUCGACACUUUUCAAGGGAAUGAUAUAGAUUUAGUUUGAAAUUACGAGGAGAUUUGCAUUACGUGCGAUGACAAAAUAGGAUAGAAAAAUAUCCUGUUUGUUUCCGUACGUAAUAUUGCGUUACGAUAUAUUUUCUACUCUCCACCGGCGAAUGCAGAAAUUUAUCCCUAUAUAUUUUUAUCCUAACUCCAAUUUAUCUAAUAGCGUCGGAUGAACCUCAAUACCAAACUAAGCCAUAAUAUAGUCCCCGUUUGGAUACAUGAACAUCUUAUUUGAGAUAUCUAUUCAAUUUGUUUAAAAAGCAUGCAAUGUUUAGUAGAUGAGGAAAUGUCUAAACUAAUUACCAUAUUCGACCUUGAAGAUAAGUUUGCAAAAUAAGAUAAAUUACCUCAUAAGUAAAUUAUACUAUUCUACCAAAUCAUGAAUAUCAAAAUUUUUUAAAAAAUAAAAAAUAAACACCAUAUUCUCAAUUACACAGGAAAAUUAUUCUAAUUUCGAUGACAACUUAUUCUGACAUCUGAAUAGGGCCCCAAAGUUCUCACAGAGCACAAUGAUCAUGACCUAACUUUUUCAUACAUUCAGGCAGGUGUGUUUUUGGGGUAAAAAAAAAGUUAUAGAAUCAAACAUAUACUGUUAAUAAACGAGUAACCCUGGGAACAAAAGCUACUGUGAACACAUUAUAAUUAGGAGAGCAAACAACUUAAUAAUGUACUACUUGGUUGACCUGCACAUAUAUUUCCAUAGGGAAAUACAGAAUAAUAUCAUGUUCUUUAGUCCCCGGAGUGAUCAAUAAAGCCCAUUGUUUUUUUUUUUUUUCCUUUUCCUAAGAAUUGAAACAACAUCGGAAAACGAAUACAACAAUGUGAUGUAUAUUAACUGUUACAUACAAUUUCUAACAAACGAAAUGUCUUCUCACCGACCAACCCCAAAGAUCUUCGACAAACAGUCGCACCGGAGUUAUUAAAAUGCCCACACACACGCCCAACGCAGUCCCUUUCCGAAGACAAAGGACAUUAGCACACCUCGCACACAAGCCCGAGAAUCACUAAACUCGGAAACUGGGAUAGAGCCCGAAAAGCCAUCAUGAUCGCUUAUGGAGCUCAUCAUCAAACACGCAAUCUUCAAUCAGUUUCGGUUGUAAUUGAGAAUAUGUUGAGAUUUUAGAGAGGGAGGGAGAGAGCAAAAAGGGCAACAACGCUACGGAAUGGGGUGCCAGCUUAUCUUGAAGAUUUCUUGCGGCUGAGGAUCUCCUGCUCCUUGAGGCGGUGCUGGAAUCGGGCCAGUCGGGCCUGGAGGCUGACCAAGCCCGCGGCCUUGCGUGAGAGCACGAAGCUUAGUUGCGUCACAUAGUUGUCGAUGAGACUACCAGGUUGGUCCACUUCCGCCAGCAAAUUCAUCUCCUGGAAGAAACAUCUUUGUGGUAGGUCAAAGUAGCAACCGCGCAUUAAAUCAAAGAUAAGCAAGAGCGAAUAAAAAGUAAAGAAAAUUAAUUACGAAUGCAAUUGCAGAAACCUGCAGUAUGUGCCGCAAUUUCUAUUAUACCCAUCGAUAAUCAAAAGGUACAACAGCAUGUUAAAAAAUUCCUGCAUGUACCCGCUACCAGGAAGGGGGUAAAGUCGCAGUGUUUUGUAUAAAGGUGAAGUUGAAAUUGCCACAUGUCCAGAAAGUUUGUCUAUUUAGCCUUAUCGUAAUAUUGUACACUACAUCGUCGCUGAAACAUAGACUAGCCAAAAGACGACAUACCAAAAGAAAAGAGUUCACUUUAGGGACUGAGAGUAGACCAAUUCACCGAUCCGAAUAGAAUUAUGAUUGAGCCAUGAAGAGAGAGAGAUAUGAAUCACACAUGUAGCUGAUAAUUGCUAGUGAGUAAUUAAUUAAAGAAAGAAAAUGCAUGUUGAAAGGUGCCUGACUGAUGAAUUAUAUGUAUGACAUUCUCACAUGAAUCCAGAUGCAGUCACAAUUAAAUUAAUGACAAAACUAAACAAAGAGCCAAAUUUAUGAAUCAGUGGACAACAAACAGUUGCAAGCAGCUCUCCAGUACAGUUCGCUUGGCAGAUCAUGCAUGGGCAUAAAACAAUACACAACAUAAAGUUGAUAAUGACAUCAGCAACAAUGCAAGCGAUAAUAACUGGCUUAUGCUGAAUAUAAUCAACCUGUACUUUGAAGCUUUCAAAAAGCAAACACAAUUUAUAAAUAUAAAUUUCUGAUAAACUUACUUCACGCACUAUCUCCAUUGUGUUCUCAAUCUCUUUUCUAUGGGCUGCUAUCAGAGCCUCUUCUUCCUACACAAAUCAAAACAAAUAAUAUCCCGCAGUCAAGGCUCCAAACUGAUUGACUUGUAAACAGGAUGCUCAUAUCUUAAAAACAAUUCUAGUACUUUAUGAUGCUCUUACCUCAAGUAAUGCAUUUAUCUCCCCAUCAUUACAUGGAAUUUCUUUUUCAUAUUGCCUUGAUACAUUAAAGGAGGAAGAGUCAGGUACUGGCUGCUGCUGCUGCCGCUGCUUGUAGCCAGUGGGAGCAGAUUCAGGUCCGGCAUCUUUUCUCGACCAGUUAACCUGUUUUUCCAUUUUUUCGUCCCUGUAACCUUUUCUUCGAGGAGGGGAGACUUUUGGUACUUUUUCUUCAUCUCUGUUCUCAAAAGAGUUCUGAACAGACUGCUUAUUGCUAUAACCCCCUUGACUGCUCUUUGACUCAAACCUCUCCCUCUCCCUCUCCUGCUCCCGCUCAAAUGGGGGCCCACUUUCGUCCCUUCCUCUAAGGGAGUAAUUCGUGGUCAUGCUAAAUGAGCUCCUCUCAGGCUCGGAUGUAGAAUUAAAAGAAAAAUUUUCCGCAUUCCUCCUGGGAAUAUCAAGUGCUUUGAAAUCUUGGAUUUGCUCGCUAGUAUCAUCAGCUUCGACGGAGAGAGGAUAUGAUGAUGCUGAUGCUGAUUCCUUGCUGGAAAAUCCAGAUAAUCCAGUAGCCUGAGCCUGAUCCUUCUUCGGGUUGCCACUUUUAGAAAGACUUUUGACCCUGUUAGGUUAUCAGGUUUAUUUAAUUUAAUAAGUGUUGAAUAACAACACGCAAAUCAGCCAUAUAAUUAUAUCAAAAAGGUGCGCGCAGUCUAAACAAUAAUACCUGUCGGCAUAUCGCAAGGUAUUAAGGGUAUGUUCACAAGAACCGGCAUUUGGAGAGAUGCAUGAAAUCAUAAUAGUCCUUGAAUUGCCGACAAAAGAGUCACGAAGCACCUCUGUCAGCUUGCUCCCUCUAAAAGGGAUAUGUAUCUGAUCAUUGUCCAGGGCACGGAUGCAUUCCUUCAAAGCCAAAAGGCUCUUGUUUAUCUCUGCUCCUUCAAUUCUGGAAAUGGUGGAACACAUGCAAAAAUUAAAAUAAUAGCCUGUUAAAGAGCUUCAUAGUUCUAUCUAAUUAAAAAAACAAGACUAGGUACUCUUGACCACAAACUUAUUACUAUUAUUAUGAGACUUUCCCACACGUAUCCCUGCAAAACAAUCUAUUUACUUACACAGCCCUGUGCAAUCAGGACAUUCAUGCAGAAAGGUUGGGAUUUGUAUUAGAAAAGGUUUCAAAAGAGGUACAUUUCUGCACGUACAAUGGAGUGUGUGUGUGCGCGCGCGCACGCAUAAAAGAAAAUAAGUUGUCUUAAGGGCAUUAGAUAAAGAUCAGGUUUCAAAUGGUUCUGUAUAAAAAGAGAAUCAUGCAGGGGUAUAUCUCUAAAUCAUCUCUUAGACACAAACCUUGUUUGACGAUCGUUAUCUGUUGUAUCAGCACCACGCUCACUUCCGGCAAGAUCGAUAAAGGAUAUCUUGCCAACAACCUUGCCAGUUUUGGCCUCGUUGACAUCCUUUUGCCUUCUGGGAUCAGUAAUUUCUUUGUGCUUCUUUAUGGCAAGCUGCAGAAUAGCGUGAGAUCUUGAUGAUUCUUCAUUGGCUCCAGUAGAACCUGUGCUCCGUGCUGCAUUUCCUUUCUCGAUAUACUCCUUCACAAUCUGAACAUCUAAGACUUCAAAUUCCUGUAGUCCAACAAUGCAGACUUGCUGCCUUCCAUCCUCCCUCAUGCAAAGUUUCCUGAUAAAGAAUUAUUACAAAACAAUUCCUAUAAAAGUGAGCACCAAAAAAAAAGGUAUACCUAAUAAAUUAAACAAAGUAUAGGUUUUGCAUCAUGUCUCACAAUAAAAGGCACUAAAAUCAGUAUGUCUCAAGUUGAAAAUUUACUAAAAUCUUUUCCCAUCAGAUGGGGCCUGCUCUUCAUCAGUUAAACAUAUCUCACCAAAUCUUUUAGGUGUUGAACUAAUCGUAGCUGAAAUAUAUAAUACUACAGAAUUACCCGUAUUAGAUAAACAUGGCAGUAAAGAACUCAUGCCAUGAUUCCAGUAUUUAUCAUCAUUUUAAACUUUUACAAGACUACAUUGCAUGGAAAAGGAUAUAGGAAGCAAUUUAGCACCACCUAACAUAAUUAUCCAGAUGAAUCCAUAAAAGGAAAAUAUAUAUAUAUAUAUAUAUAUAUAUAUAGAGAGAGAGAGAGAGAGAGAGAGAGAGAGAGAGAGAGAGAGAGAGAGAGGGAGAAGGACAACAAUACAAUAUAAAAAGUGCUUCUAAAUGGACAACGAAAUUAUGAUUUUGAUAAAUUAAAGUGAAAGGUUAAGGAAAACGAUAGACAAAAGUAGAGAAAAUAAGCUUUUUGUUAGCUAAUUUCCCCUCUCCGAAGAAAGCCAAAAAAGAUAGACUGCAUCCUAAGAGAUGAUGUUGUGAAUCUCCAACAAUCCAGAUUAGGAUCAUAAUGUCAAGAUUCCUCUAGAGAAUUGUAAUUAUUAUGUGGUAACUUGAGUAGUGCACUGUGAUCUGGCUAUGAAGUUAUAAUGUUGACAGAAACAGAGCUCAGAAACAAAUUAGUCUAAGCUGUUCGAGAGAGAUCUUGAGGUCAUGGUUAUGCCAGCAAUGAACAGUCUAAAUUGGGUUGCGUCUAGGCACAAGGCUCAAUAUGGUACUGAACUAAGCAAGCACAAAGCUUAUUUUAGGGUCAGAUCACAAUGAAAUCAAACUUUGAGCAUCUGUGAUGAUCUGUUGUUCAAGAAGCUGCUCAGUUAAAAUGAGCAAACAAGUCAAAGCCGACCUCAGCCAAGUUUGUUAAGCUAUUGUACAUACCCAGGUAAGCACAAGAUCUACAAUAAUCAAGUUGGCUUGGCUCAGAUUGUUGCAGCCAUAAGUCAAUUAACAUAUGAAGUAUUUCGAUGGUUUCUUCUUCCCCACAACCCCACCCCACCCCCCACCCCCCCUCUUCUAUAUGCACGAGUAGCAAGAAGUACAUUUAACAUCUAAAAGAACAGAUAUUUGUGAGAUGUAAUCUCUAAGAUUUAAAUCCAAAUCUAGCAUGUUAUGAGAGACUUAAAUUCAUCGCAUAUAGAGAGAUUUUUAAAGUAAUAAAACAGAUAAUGAGUAUAUAAAAAUUAGGGAGAACAAAGAUAAUAAUUAGCUAUGUCUUGGAAGCCAAAGAAAAUCAAAGAAUUUUAAGAAUGAUAUUAUGAAGAAACCAACCUCCUGUCGCAAAGAAGAUCAAAGAGUUUCCCACCAUAUAUCUCAAAGUAGCUAAGCCACAAUUUAAAUUUCUGAUUUCGAUAUGCCGGUUGAUGUAAAUACCGAACGAUAUCUUCUGCAGCUCUAAGAGGUAAAGGUUGCAUCGUAAAAGUCUUGCCACUCCCUGCAAAUAAAUGUGAAGCCCCAUGAAACUUGACAACCAGCAAGCCUCUAUAACCAAAAACACUUUUGUGCAUAAAGGUGAAUAGAGUCUACUAAACCAUACAUACUAAUGGCCUGCUUUGAUUGCUGAACAAACAACAACCCGAUUUUCAUGUUUGAACAAACCUGUUUGACCGUAAGCAAAACAUGUGGCUUUUGUUCGCUCAAAAAUGGUAGGAAUAAUGGGCUCGACAGUCACACGAUACACCUGUUCAUACAAUUUAUUUAUUGUUAGAUAAAGGAAGAAUUGAUAUUGACAAGAAUUGUAGGAUAGACAAUUUACAAAAGUAAAGAAGUAGCAAUGGUAAAAGAUAAGGCUGGCUGGCAAAAAAGACUUCGAGAAACGAUAGUAAAAAGCUGAAUUACCUCAUCAUUACUGACAUGCUCAUCAAGAACAGCAUCAAACCAAAACUCGUGCUUCUCCACAUAGGCAGUCAAGUCAACCUUUACGUUAAGGCUUCAAGUUAGUUAUGCCACAACGCAUGUCAAGCAAAGAAGUAAAAGCAUCUUUGCUCGAUUUUUAUCUUAUCAACUGAUUGCAUAUUAAGACAUAAAUGCAACAUCAUAUUAUGAACCAAAGGAAGCAUUCAAAGGAUCUUUAAUACCAAAGAAUCUCUUAAAUAUAUGACAUAAUUGAGCAUGCACUUUCGGAUGCAAAUCUAUAAAAAAACAUGGAAGAAACAAAUAUGAAUCUCUCCAGGUCCAGACAAACGAGAGCACAACCAGAUAUUUAAUGACGCCUAAACUCCAAGGCCCCUGAGCUUGAAAGCUCUCCGACCAGCAGUAUUAAGGAUACCACAAGUAAAAUUGUUUCCGAGAGCAAAGAAAUGAAUCAGGGCAACCAAUUUACUCUAGUCACAGAAAAUCUUGAUAAUGGUCCUUGCCAAAAGCCUAAAUAAGUGUAAUAGAAGCACUGUUUUCAAGCUUGGUGACAGAUGGUUCUAUCAAAAGGAGAAGAAAAUAAAUAAGACAGUGCAGCUUCCAAUGUCUGUUCAAAGCAGCUUCUGAUAUCUGCUUGGAGAUUUUAUGAGCCGCAAUAAUUGUUCUUAUGUCGGGCAGACCCAAGAGAAAACAAAAGGUAAUCCUAGGGAUUUUCAUCUUACUAACAAAGAGAUAGAAAACCUGAGACUUACAGGCAUCGAGAAAAGAAGAAUUAGGAAAGUUUUUAUACUGAGUUUUACAAGCAUAUAAUUUCAGAUAGGUAUGUUAUGUUCCAAUACAAAUAAGUUUUCCUUUCAGAGUUUUCAUCAAGUAUGAGAUAUCAUUUUAAUGAUGAAAACUAGAUUGUUUGUAGAUAAAAUUUGAUAAUUUAUCACAGCAACUAACUUAGAGUUGCAAAAUAUGUAAUAGUACAAGACUAAAAUAGCAUGCAAGUAUGCAACUAAAGCAGUUGUCAAAUGAGACAAUAGAGCAGCAAAGAAGGCUCCUCUGAUUGCAAGUCAUACAUGCCUAUACUUUUACCCAUUUGAAAUAUGUACAACCAGGAACAAAAUUGAAAAAGAACCAAAUGCUAGAGACAGGUUAAACGAAGCACUAAAAUAUGAUCAGAAAUAUCCAUUCAUGAGAGAAGACAAACCUUUAACUUUGGCUCAUGGACAGUCAAAUAGGAACUAUUAUGCACUGUCACAAUAUCAUCCUCUUUUCGAGAUAUCUCCUUCUUGUUCAGGGGUCUUUUACGGACCUAAUCGUCAUGAUGAGAAAAUUAAAAAAGCAAAAAAAAAAAAAGAAAUUAAAGAAUUUGCAUUGCUUGUGCAAUAAAGAAAAAAGACUAGAUGAGCUAGUUGAUAAAUGAUAUGAAACAACGAAAGCUCCUAUAUCAAAAGGUCAUAUCUAGACUUUAAAGCACGGAAUUGAAUGAAAUGUUUGAAAUAAGAAACAUUAUUUUCAAUGAGUAAAGGCAUCUAUUUUCAGAUGAUAAUAUCAUUUGACUAUAAGAUAAUGUAUCUUGAAAAACUUAGCAGGAUGUUCUACAGUGCUUUUGAUUCUUAAGAAAAACAUACGUAUUGCUUACAUUUGAAAAUGGCUUCUAGUCAUCUAGGGAGGGAGAGAGUGCAAAGGAUACUCAUGGAUAUGCUACUGCAAUGAAUGAGUAAUUCCAGGAAAAUCUUGAUUAAGAAAGUGAAUUGAAGUAAGAUGACGUGGAGUUUCUGGACGUGGAGUUUCUGAGAUCAAAACUGUAUACCAUUUAGAACGUUAUACAUACCAAGGUAAUGUGAUAUAUUCUAUAGAAAUAUUCCAGCUUCUCCAACCAAAAGUUAUAUAGCAAAAUGAAAAUUAUUGGCGUGGGGCUUAGUUCCAGUUGUUUCAGAAGUUAGCAGAUUGUUAUUUUUGAAGAAGGAUCUCAAAAGUUCAAAAAAAUCAAAUAAAAACAGAAGAAUUGAGCACAAGGAGUGGCAUGAGGGUACAAAAAAUAAUUUUAAACAUUAUGCAUCUAGAUAACACUGGAUUUCAGGUUCUAAAAUCAAGAUUCUGAGGUUGCAUUUUGCAAUACAAAUUAGUCAAUUCAAAAAUGAAGUUGCCAAGUAUAUAUGUAUGGGUACUCUAGCAUAAAGAGUUGAGUAUGCAUGACAAAAAUACAAACAUAUGGUUCAUUGGAAAAAAAAAAAAAAAAAACACUGAUUGAUGCUCAACUUAGCAUCACUUAUAAAGCCUAAGGUGAAUAAGUGGUAUCAAGUAGGAAAGUAACCUUCACAUAGUAAAUCUACUAGCAGGAUUUCUAUCUACAUACCACAACUUUAAUUUUUGCUACAUUAUUUUCCUUUGUGCUGAUCUCUUUUUCACUGGUUGAUGAUCUGAUAUUGAUAUCUGCUGGCCCUUGCUGCCCACCGGGUACGAUGUCGUAGUCAUCAUCAAUCUCCUUGGGCAUGAAUGGUGAUGGCUCAAAUGGUUCUGAUGUUACAUGCUGCUAGACAAAGAAAAGUUGAAUUUGAUUGUUAUCAUCAUAAUAACCAUUAACAAAAUAAGAUCUAAACAAAUAGUAACAGUGAGGUAAUAAAUUCUAUAUACUAAUUACUCUCUCAACUUACCAGGGCAAAAAAAUAUGGGCAAACAUUUUUAAUAUAGUAAAUAUGCUUGUCAAUAUAGCAAUAUAUCACCUUUCAUGGUGUCAUAUUGGUAAGUACUACUUAACAUGCAAUAUUUUCAAUCAAAUGAUGAACAUCAGAUUGUGCACCUGGAUCACAAAAAAACCCCUCCCCCAUUUCCGAAUCUAGAUCCAGAUUGUGAGUUAAGAUUUACGAUUUGUUCACCAUCCAAAUCACAAACAGUGACAAACAGAAAGUAAUUGAAACAAAAUUGAAUAUAGAUUUCUUAGAUCUGAUUUCUUAGGUUAUCUAAAAUGAAAUUUGAUUUACAAGAUAAAAUAACAAAAAAGAACCAUAGCCUACAAAGAGAAAUAGCCUGAGAGAAAGUAUACCAAAUCAGACCUUAACAAAAAGGAAAAAUAUAUCUACAGUAACAAAAAGGAAAUUAAUGAUUUAAUAGAUAAAUCGAUUCACAUUGACGUACCAACAUGAUCCAUGAUCCAGAUUACCAAUCAGACUAAUCCUAACCCCCGGCCACAAAUCCCACUCCCACCCCCACCAAACCCCCUUCCCAUGUUCCUGAGAAAUUGUCGUAUCACAUUACUUUACCAUUUAGCAUACCACACCGCAUUCCAUCCCAGACAAUGUUGAUCAAAACCUGGCACAGAGUUUGUGACCACACAUUGGCAAGACAUCAAAGCAAUGCACAUAACCAACCAUGGCAAAAUAGAAAGAACGCCAAUGCAAGAUAGUUAUCUGGCGGGAAGCAAACUAACAAUGUGACACAUGGACAUGUUGUAAUACAAGAAGGAUUCCUGCACUACUAGAAGGAAACUCAAAAAUUUGUAUGACGUAAAUGAAAACAGACAACACAAAAAUGGAGAAAGUGAAAACUCCGGUGUGUAUUCGGUACACAACAAAGGUCAAAUGCAAAUCACCUCAAAGAACUGUUAUUUGGAAAUAAUUGCUUUCAUGAAGGCAUAUAACAAAAGAACCAAUAAGGAAAUAUUUCGAGCCUCCCAAUUUUCGUAACCUUUUACAUCAUUGCAAGGGAAAACAUACAAAUGUCAAUUAAGGUGUUUCAACAUGUCUAGAACAACUUUAACUGGCAGCAUCCAUAAUAUACGAACAAUCCCCGUUAUGCCAAAAGUGGUCUAUAGUACAGCCUUGUCAAUAUAAUGUAACAUUAUACCUCAGAAAGAAGCUCUGUAUCAUCCAUUGCAUGAAGGUCCAGAAGCCCAGCUCCAAAUUCACCUCUCAACUCGGGCGAAUAGAAGCCAUCCAAUGCACCAGCUGCUCCAAAACUUUGGGCUGUUGGUGUAUAUGGUUCAGAGACCGACUCGCCAUUGAAAUUCAGGCUCCUCAAGAGCUUAUACAGCUUCUGCUUCUCCUCAACUGUCUGAGGACCAUACCCCUACGAAAUAACAAACCAACAACUUAAUGCAUCAAAAACCUUACAUUCUCCACUAAAUUCGCUGCCAUUGGCAGCACAAUGCAAUGGCACAUCUAUUAUACAACAAUGGCACUUCAAGUCGCAAAGAAUUGUCGAAAAUCAAAAUAUGAGCGAGGUUAACCCCCGAGGUGCAGAAUUUAAUAACAAGCUGGCAGCUCGUCAUCGUUCUUGUUUGCCCUGGCUAUUAGAAUAGCUUCUCUACUGUAAAAAGCAUAAGUUAGUCAAUUAGGAAACAAAAAACUGGCGAUUUUGCUUCCGGUUCCCAAAGUAGAAGCUCUAAUUUGAAGUUUUUGCCAGAAGAAAGCUGUUCGGAGACUUUGAACACAAAAGUUGCUACAUUAUCUUGAACAACUCUACUCAAAUAGCAUAUUAACAUAUAAUACAGAAGACUUAGAAAGCAAUUCUUUCCAGCAUUAUAGAAAGAGCUCUAACUACUCCAAUUCCAGAAAAGGAUCACCUGCACAGAAACCAAUACCAACAAUUCCGGAAACAGACUAACGCACCGGAACACCCAUCACAAUAACAAUCUAAAAGGAUUAGAUCGCUCGUUCCUGCUGCAAUCUACUAAUGGAUUAUAACCUGCAUGAGGAGGUUGGGGAGGGCGCGGUUGUCUGCGGACGAGGUGAGCGGGGAGGCGAGGUGCUGCAGCCCCGCGGACUGGAGCCACCGGGCCAUGACGGCGUCCCCGACGUCCCCCGCCGUUCCCGGGCCCCCCGCCCCCGCCGCCGGCGCCGGGUGGUGGUGGUCGUACAGAGCCGCCGCGGCCGCCGCGGCAUUGCUCUGCUGCACCUGCCCACCCAUGUGGCGCUGCGACCGGCGUUGGGGCGCCAACUUUCCCAACCCUAAAAAACCCUCCUCCUCCUCCGCCGCCGCCGCCGCCGCCGCCGCCGGCGGAGCUAAACCGAAUCCGAGAUCUACGCGCGCGCUGCGACCUCGGACAAGUUCCCGGAUCUACCGACGCAUUCGGGGAUCGGUGCGAUCGCGGGCGUUCCGAGGGCACGGGAUCGAGAUCUGAGACGAGGCCGGAUUCCGGCUCUCGAUCCGAUGGGCGAUUGGGGGAGGAGGGGGUUCGUGGUAGAUCGAGCGAUUGGUUUGGCGAUCGGAAACCCUAAUUUGGGGGAAGAGGUGGUGGUGGAGGUCGCAUCGCGCGCCCCUGCGACGGUGAGGAAGAGGAAGAGGAAGAGGAGGAGGAAAGGGUCAGCCCCAAAAAUGAAAAAUGCGACGGUACGAAACGGAGUGAGAGAGAGAGAGAGAGAGAGAGAGAGGAAUAGAUAGAGAGAUGUAUGAAUGAUGAGGACCUCUUUUCGUUUGCAGCGGGAGAAGAGUUUUUUUUUUUUUUUUUUUUUUUUUUUUGGGAACCCUUCAAAUACUCUAUUGUAGUUUCGCAGUUCCUCACUUUAGUACUCUGUAAUUUAAAGUGUAUCAAGUUAGUAUCUCGUGGUUUCGCACUUUCUUAUUUUAGUACCCUGUGAUUUAAAGUGUAUCAAGUUAGCACCAUGUGGUUUUGCACUUUCUCACUUUAGUAUUCUGUGAUUUAAAAUAUAUCAAAUUAGAACCAUGCGGUUUUGCACUUUCUCACUUUAGUACCCUGUGGUUUUAAUAUUUUGUUAAAUUAUAUACAAAAAAACUUCAGAUACCCUACCUAGGUUUAUUAAAUAUUCAUUUUAGUACCCUUUAAUUUUAACUUUGUCAUUGAUUUAACGAAAAAAAUACCCGAAAAUGGAUAAUAAAAAGAGAAAAAUAAAACCACAGGGUACUAACUUGAUACAAAAAUGAAACCACAAAGUACUAACUUGAUACACUUUAAACCACAGGGUACUAAAGUGAGAAAGUGCGAAACCAUAGGGUACUAAUUUGAUACAGUUUAAACCACAGGGUACUAAAGUAAGAAAGUGUAAAAUCACAUGAGGGGUAUUUGAAGUUUUUCCUUUGUCACGGGUCUAAUGACUUUUUGUCAAAAAGCCCACGCGACGCUCGUCUGUCACCUGCACAAACGAGCCAGCCAAACCGUCUCGAGACACAACUUCGCAAAUUGGCAACGACCGAGAAUUGAGAGCAAGCACGUAAAGGAAUCCUGCAAAUUGGCACAAACAACGAGUAUUUUAUUGAUAACAAAAAGUUGGACUACAAGCGAAAAACUGACGACUCGACUUGGUCGGGCAUGGCCGGUGAGGGCAAAAUGAUCACCAAGAAUUUGAUACAGUUUAAACCACAGGGUACUAAAGUAAGAAAGUGUAAAAUCACAUGAGGGUAUUUGAAGUUUUUCCUUUUUUUUCGGUAAACUUCAAAUACUAGUACGUAGUUUUCCACUUUCUCACUUUAAUACUCUAUAAUAAUAAUUUAAAGUGUAUUAAUUUAAUAUUCCGUGGUUUUUUUUUUCUUUUCGUCGGUUCUUUCAUUAAUGUUUCGUUAAAUUAUAUACAAAAAAAAAUUCAGAUAUUCCACCUAGAUUUAUCGAAUAUUUAUUUUAGUACCUUUUAGUUUUAACUUUGUAAAUGAUUUAACGAAAAAAAAAUAGUGAAGGGAUAAUUUAAAGUGUAUUAAUUUAAUAUCCUGUGGUUUCUUUUCUUUUCUUUUCGUCGGUUCCUCCGUUAAUGUUUCGUUAAAUUAUAUACAAAAAACUUCAGAUAUCCCACCUAGAUUUAUCGAAUAUUUAUUUUAGUACCUUUUAGUUUUAACUUUGUCAAUGAUUUAACGAAAAAAAAAUAGUGAAGGAAUAAUUUAAAGUGUAUUAAUUUAAUAUUCUGUGAUUUUUUUUCUUUUCGUCGGUUCUUCCGUUAAUGUUUCGUUAAAUUAUAUAGAAAGAAUUUCAGAUAUCUCACCUAGAUUUAUCAAAUAUUUACUUUAGUACAUUUUAGUUUGAACUUUGUUACUGAUUUAACGAAAAAAAAGAGGAUAAUAAAAACAGAAAAAUCAAACCACAGGGUACUAAAUUGAUACACUUAAAACUAUAGGGUACUAAAAUAAAAAAAAAAAUGCAAAACCAUUGGGUAGUAUUUGAAGUUUUCCCUUUUUUUCUUUUUUUCUUUCUUUGGGCUAAAUUAUACAAAAACAACCUUAUAAAAUUCAAUUUUUUUAUUUUUUUUAUCUUAACUUUUUAAAAUCUAUAUUUUAUCCUCUUAAUAUUUCAAGUUAUUGUAUUUAGUCUUAGUUUGGUAUUGAGAUCUAUCUGACUCUAUUAGAUAAAAUGGAGUUAACGAAAAAGUAUAUAGGGAUAUGUAAAACGCAAUAUUACGUACGAAAACAAACAAGGUAUUAUCCCAUCGUACUUUCUCACCGCACUUAACACAAUAUCCCCGCAAUCCCAAACGGAGCCUUAGACUCCCUCCGUUAGGCUUCUAUCACUAUUCCGUCUAUUUUUUCAUAAUUUAUACUAAAAAUACUAGUCAAAAUGAUGAAAAUAUAUUAAAAUUUUAUUUUUUGGUCAUUUUGUUCUCUUUAUUAACGUCGUACCAUCUAAAAAUACUCCUAAAAUUUUAAGAGGGCAAAAUAUAGAUUUUUGAAAGUUAGGGAGGAAAGUAAGAAAAGCGAGGUAUUUAAAGGUUUUCCCUAAUUUAGUCCUUUUGUUUUCACUUUUAAAAAUGUACCAAACUUAUUUUGUAAUAUGGAUCAUUUUGAAUUUACUACCUAAUUUUUUCAAAAUUAUAAUUUUACCAUCCAAUAUAUCAAUUUGUUUGAUUUAAUUCAGUUGAUGAUAUUUUGACUUUCACAUUUAUACUGUUCUCCCAACUAUAAAUUUAGGGUAAAUCGCAUGUUUGGUCCCCAAACUAUGAGUCAAGUGAUAUUUUGGUUCUCAAACUUUAAUUUAUUAUAAUUUUUCGAUCAAAUUUUUAGAAUUAUUACAAUUAAGUCCUAUAAUUCAAUUUAGUUGACUAAAUAUUGAUGUAUCACAAAUAUAGAAAUGAUGUAGAUGAUGGGUCAAUAAUUAAGAUAUUAUAUUUCUUUUACAUCAACGAUGCGUCAAUAAUUAAUCAACUAAAUUGCAUUGCAGAAUUAAUUGUAAUAAAUUAAGUUUGAGGACCAAAAUGUCAUAGUUGAGGAUCAAGCGUGUAAUUUACCCAUAAAUUUAUUAAAGUAAUAAUUAACUUAAAUUUUAAAGUCAAAGUACAAUUGUUGACUGAUUCAAAUCAAAUAAAAUGAAAUUUCAUAUUGGAAGAUUAAAAUUUUAAAAUAUUAGAUAGUCAGAUGAAAAUAAUUCAUAGUUACAUAAAUUUUGUACAACUUUAUUUUUUAUUUCUUUUGGGGGAGGAGAGACGAGAACCAUUGUAGCUUUCGACCUAACUAUCCAACCUUUAAAAUGACGUAUUUUAUUUCUCGAAAACAAAGAAUUAUUUUUUUAGAAAAUCUUUUAUGAAAAUAUUAUUUGUCAGAGUUUUUAUUUUUCGAAUAAAAUAUUUAAAAAAUAAAAAUAUUAGUUUUUCAUAAAACUUGGAAAAAAAUUUAGAAAAAGUACUUUUUUCUCAAAACUAAAUAGAUGAAAAAGUAUCUUCUAGCCAAAAAUACUAUUUUCUGAAAUACUUGGAAAAAUAUUUAGAAUUCUCCAAAAUAUAGAUUAGAAAUUUAGAAUUUUUAUAUUUGAAUUGUCGCAAAAAUUUUACGUGGUUGAAAUUUAUAAUUUUUGUGGCAUCUCCUAAUCACACAAAAUGUGAAAAUUCAAACCCCACCUCCCCUCUUAAUUUUUCUUUUUUCUCAUAAGGAUUUGAUUUUCAUGGGCUGUUUAUACUACCUCUUUCAAAUUUAAUAUUUAUUGUUUAUGUUUAUUCAAUGUAAAAUAAAUAAAAAUAAAUUAUAGCAAAGUUAUUGAAAGUAUGAAUCAAACAAAAAUACUCCUACAAUAUUAGAAUUUAAUUUGACAAUAAUAAUUGCGAAAAAUUUAAUUCUUUGCAAAUAGGUCUUAAAAGUUUUAAUUCUGGUGCUUACUCUUUCAAUUUGUUUGAUUUAAACUACUUUAUAAUCAUUUGGGUACAACUUAGUUUUAUUGAUUACUCCAAUAGAUUUAUAGUCACAUUAAUCAUAUGAAAUAUGUAAGUAUUUAAGAUAAAUAGUAUAUUCAAAUUUUGAAUUGAAAAGUUAUUAAAUGGCUCAUAUUAAAUAAAUUAAAAGAUUAGACGACAAAAAUAGAACUUUUAAGUAUCAUAUUUAUUUUUUAUUUUUUAAAUAAAAUUUCGUAUAUUAAAAAGUGUAGGAGUGAAUAGUGAAUUGAUUGCAACUAUUUAAAAAAAUAAAAAUUUGAAAGCAAUUUUUUUUUUGCUUCCAAAAUAUUUUAAAUAAGUUAUCAUCAAUUACUCAGCCCAAUGCAUUAUAAGUUUUUUUUUUUAGCAUUGGAGGAGUGCAAGGAGACCCCCUAACCUAUAGGGAAUUUUGAAACAGCCCGCGCAAAUUUUAUUUUUUGAUUGAGACCUCUCAACUUGAGGUAAUACCUCAUUGGAAAAAAUAAUUUUCAAUCUAGCCUUAUUUUCAAAAAUAUUUUUAAUUUAGCCUUAUUUUUAUGGAAUAGAAAAAAAUAGAGAAGUUAAUAACUUUUAUAUAAGUUUAUAUAUUAAGGCCCUAUUUGGAUGCAUAGUUAAAAAACUCCAUGAAAUUUUUAUUCUAUGGUUUUGGUCUAAAUGAAAUAUGGAAUCAUGUAACUACAAAAAAAUUCCACAGCUUCAUUUUUAAGUUGUUUGGAUACAGAUCAUACAAUUCCAAAAUAUUUAUAACAAUUAAAAUUCAAAAUUCAAAAUUCAAAAUUCAAAAUUCAAAAUUCAAACUUUAAAAAUAAAAAUUUAAAAAUUAAAAUUCAAAAUUCAAAAUAUAAAUUUUAAAUUUAAAAUUAAAAAUUAAGAAAUUAAAUUAGAUUUUAUGUUUUAAAUUUGAAAUUUGAAAUUUGGAAUUUGAAAUUUAAAAUUUGAAAUUUGAAACUUUAAAUUUUAAAAUUUAAAGUAUACCAUUUAAACUUUAAAAUUUGAAAUUUAAAAAAUCUAUAAUUAAAAUUUUAAAUUUUAAAUUUAAUAAUUUAUAAAUUUACAUAUUUAUAAAUUUAAAAUGUUACAAAUUUAAGUUUAAAUUUAAAUUGAAAAUUUAAAUUAAAAAUUAAAUUAAAAUAAAUAAAUUUUUGAAAAUUUGAAAUUUGAAAUUUGAAAUUUGAACUUUUUGAAAUUUGAAAUUUGAAAGUUUGAAAUUUGAAAGUUGAAUUUGAACUUUUUUGAAUUUGAAAUUUGAAAGUUGAAAUUUGAAAUUUGAAAUUGAAAGUGUGAACUUUGAAUUUUGAAAUUUGAAAUUUGAAGUUUGAAAUUUUGAUAUUUGAACUUUUGAAAUUGAAAUUUGAAAUUUGAAAUUUGAAAUUUGAAAUUUGAUAUUUGAACUUUUUGAAUUUGAAAUUUUAAAUUUGAAAUUUAAAAUUUAAAAUCAAAAUUAAAAAUGAAUUUGAAAUUUUAAAAUUUAAAAUUUAAAUUUUAUAUUGAAAUUUAAAAAUUAGAAAUUGAUACAUCUUGGGAGCCCAAAAUGGCUGGCAAUUUGUUCUUUGGUUAAAGUGGAUUGUAAGUUUACUCCAUUUUUUGGAGUAUAGUAUAACUAUACUAAACAAAUUACGUCAUUUUUUUUUCUUCCAAACACUUUAUAGAAUUAUUUUCCUACCGGCGUAGCAUAGUUUAAUUAUGCUAUGUUUUUAGAGGUAUCCAAACGGGGGGUCUAAUUGAGAGAGAUUAUUUUUUUCUCUCUCCUCUCCGAUCUCUCAAAACCUCUCUCUCACUCUUUCUCUCUCCUCCCUCCCCACCCCCCGACUCUCUCUCUCUUCAAUAUUUAAUAACAAUUAAUAUUUAUUAUAAUAAUAAAUAGUAUUAUUAUUAAUUAUAAAUUUUUAUUAUCACGAUUAUUAUUACUCCUAUUAUUACUAGUACUUAAUUUGACUACGUAAUUGAAGUUAUUAAACAUCCGUUAGAACUACACAUUCUAAAUAAAAUAUGAUUAUAUAUUAUAUAAAAAUAAAAGUGAUAUAACUAUAUAUCAUAUAUGAUAUAAAAUUGGCUAUAUUUAAUAGAAAAUUUGAUUUGACUACAUAGUGGACAUGAUAUAAAAAUAAUAUGACUAUAUAAGACAUAAAAAUAAAAACUAGUUAAGAGACCUGGACGAUGCUGCGAGUAGUUAUUUUAAAAUUUAAUUUUGAAAAUAAGUUAUAAAAAUUAAUUUAAGAAUUUAAAUGGUGCCAUAAGUACAUCAAAACCCGAAUGAAGUAAAUUUAUCUGAUGCUAAACAAAAAUUGUUUUGAAUAUGGAUAUUAAAAACGAAAACCCGACGAAUUUGAAUCCGGGUAUGGAUUUUGAUUGUAUCCCAACCCGAAUCCGAACCCAACGAAUUUGAAUCCGGGUUUGGAUUCAGAUAAAAUUUUCAUACCCAGUGACAUCCCUAGUUGAGAUGUCAACGGGUCGGAUUCUAGCCGGAUUUUAAAAAAUCCAAACCCAAUCCCGAUUCCAAACCCAAAACCUGAACCCGAUUCCGAACCCGACGGAUUUUAAAAAUCCAUAUCCAAAUCCGAACCCGACCAAAAAUCCAAAACCCAAACCCAAAACAAUUAUUUAAUUUUUCAAUAUUUCAAAAUGUUUUAUAUUAAAUCUAGAUUUUUAAAAUUCAAAUUCAAAUAUAACAUCCAUUUUUUAUAUACACAUUACAUAUAAUGUAAAAUAAAUUCAAGUUCGGGUUGGGUUCAGAUUCAGGUCGAGUACGGUCAAAAUCUAUAUCCGAAUCCAUAUCCGUCGGGUUUUUGUUUUUGAUAUCCAUAUCUGAAACCAUAUUCGUUUAGCAUCGAAUAAAUUCGCUCCGUUCGAAUUUGAAUUCGGAUAAAAUUUUAGGUAUUCGUUCCCAUUGACAUCCUUAUCCCUAGCCCAGACACAACUUGCAAGCAGGAUGCUGAAGGGUCAACAUCCAAAUGAUGAGGGCUUUCCCCCACCAACUCUUUUUUCAAAUGUGGGCAUUACAAUAACUUGGACUGCUGCAGGGAGAAGCUUUUCUUUGGUGUAAAGCUUUUUAGGUUGAGGCACUUCCAUUAUAUUCUCCUGGAUUCCAAUCAAAGCAUCCCCAAGAAUUGUAUAAAAGUUGGAUCCUCUCAAUAGAUCUCAUCCUAACAUCAUAAUAAUUAGGUGAUCAACAAUUUUAUGUCAUCGGCCGUACCUAGCGUAGUCGGCUAAGAGCUUGAUUGUGUUUGGAAUUGACUAGACCGUCCGUCAUGCGCUGCAAAAACAUAUGCACAAAACCAGAGAAACCAAUCGGUAAAAAUUAAAAAAAAAAAAGUAGAAAGAAGAGAUCCAGAUUUACGUAGUUCGACAAUUACAUGUAUUCCACUAUAUGAAGAAAUAAAAGUAUAAGCUUAAGCAGUUAAGCCUUAUAGCUUCUCCAGAUAAAAAAUCAAGAGCUUUACGGUGAACCUUAUAUUUCUUUUAUGUUAACAAAGACUUUAAUUUAUACCGUUUGGUUCGGGUAUAAGCAAGAACUAACUAUUACAGGGAUAGGUACAAGUAUAGGGAUAAGAAAAAUAGCGUUUGGAUGAAAAUUGGGUUGUUCCCGGGGAUAAGAAAAAUAUUAGGUAGUUUUAUAUAGAAAAUGGAGGUGUUGGUGGGGAUAACCGAGAACAACUAUUUACGGGUAAAAAAUUAGCGUUUGGGUAUAAAAGGGGGGAUAAGGGCCUAUCCCUAUUCCUAUUCCCUAACCAAACGCUGAUAACCGAAAAGAGUAAUUGAGAUGAGUAAAUUAAAGAAGUACAAAAAACCCUCUGACCAAAUCAUUUAUGUCGCCUGCUUCGAAGAAUCCGAACUACUCAGGCAACUGGUCGAGAACCUCCACUCUGUUGCCGGCUCUGAUCUCGAUGUAACAUGCGAGGCCGCCUCUCUCCUGCCGUCGUUCAGCCACUCGACGAUGUUUGCAAAUUAAUUAGUGCCACCCUUUAUGCUAAUUAAUUUGGUUACAACCUCUAACUUUGAAGAUGAAAUCUUUGACAUCGCUGCUGUAACGUAAAUCUUAUACUCUGAUACUACUUAUUAGGAACAUGACGAACGGUCUAUUCAGUUUCCAAUAAUUUAUUAGUAUAUGAAGUUUUAAGUUUGAAAUUUAGUUGUUUUAUAAUUCUAAUUAAGUUUAUAUCUAAAACUACAAACAAAGCUGUUUAGCAUACUAUCUCUCUCUUUCUCAAAAAAAAAAGAAAAAAAGAAAAAAAGAAAAGAGUCAUGAGCCAUCUUAACUAAAUUUUAGGGCAAAAAUGAUUAGGCAGUCCUUGCAGUGUCUCAUAAUUGCAAUUUGGUCCCUGACCCCCUUCAUAAGUAACAUAAUUCACUUGUUCCUCUUUUACCCCUCAAGUAUAAGCCAUUUUUGUAAUGGACACCAAAAAUUUUGUUUUUCAUUUUAGUCAAGUGAAUUGGGAGUGCAAUUUAGCUUAUAUCAGAUUUCAUCAAAUGAAUUGCAUCUAUCAAAAAUAGAAGUUCAAAUGUUUGAUCUGAGCUUUAAAAUUUUCAUAUAAUCAUAAUAAGCAAAUCAAAAUUUUGUUAAUAAAUGAAUAUUUACUGCAUAAAUGAAUAAUACUAAAUGGAUAAGUGGUAUACAGGUCAAAUAUGUAUUUCAUAAAUAUAUUUUUAUUUGAAUGAUCAGAUAAGGAGAAACUUCAAUUUACUACAUGAUGUGGUUUAGGUAGGGGUGAAAGUGGUUACGAUAAACUCCGAUUAAAUCCGAGACCAAAUUCGACAAAAUGCGAAUAUGAAUGUCAAAAUUUAGUAUUCGACACAUAUUCGCAUCUGAAAAAAAAAUCUAAAAAAAGAUAUGGAUGUGAAUAUAGUUUCUCAAAAAAAAACCAACAGUUUUUUACCUGAUGGAUAAAAUAAUUUUCUAUCUCUUCUUCAUUUACUUUAUUAUGAGUUUCAUGUUACAGUGGCAUUUAUAUUUGUUAAAUACUAAAUUUUAUCAAAUAAAAUAUAAUUAUACAAAGUUUAAACAUGAAAACAUUAAAUUUUAUUCAAUAUUGAAUACAAAUCCGAUUCAUAUCUGAAUCCAAAUCCGUUUUUAGCGGAUACGACAAUGACACAUUUUCACAUCCAAAUUCGCAUCCAAAAAAACGAGUGAAUAUGAUUUGUCAAAUAUUCGACCAUUUUCACCCUUAAGUUUAGGGGUGUUUGGUUAUUUAAGCAACCCUGGAAAACUAUUUUUCAAAGAAAAAAAUUCAUGAAAAUAUUAUUUUGCAAAGUUUCAAUUUUCGUAUAAAAAAUUUGUAAAAUGAAGACACUUAAGCUUAACACCAAAAUGCUCCAACUCAUGAAACACAAAAUAAUAAUUUAAAUUUAAACCCAAUGUAACAUUUUACUAGCUCACAAAUCACAAUCUUGUAAUUGGCUAUACUAUGAUUUGCUAAAUAAAUCACUUUACUAUUCUACUUAACAACAGAUCAGUAGGGUGAAACAAAGACACUCAUUUGCCGGUAAAAUAAAAUUUGUUUCCAAUCACAAAGUGACAAAGUGAAAAUGCGGUAUGUCGGAUAGUUAAUGCUAACCAUUAAUCCUAAAAGUUCGAACUUUAAAAAUACGCAAUUAAUUCACUUAAAAUAUACACUCUAAAAUACGCAAUCAAUUGACUUAAAAUAUACAGACGCAGGGCCCAGGAUCUCGAUUGUGACUCGAUUGUGACUCGAUCCAACCAACCUCACGCCACUUCAAAUAUUGACUCAACCUAACCCAACCUCACGUCAUUUCAAACGUGGCUCGGCCUAACCUGAACUCCCGUCACAAGACAGGAUGCUGACUCAUUUAAGCCACCACGCUAAACCACACGGAGGCUAAAUUGAAGUUUACCCAAGAAUUGUUCUUGGUACAUCUUUGUCAACAGGAAAUGACUACUAGGGUUACCUCCAGAUGCAACAAAAAGAUAUAUAUAUGUAGGCAACUAGAAGUUCUUAACAGAAAACCAAACUCUCCGAGUCUAGUAAUAUAUCUGAUGCUUAGGAGAAGAGCGUCGUGAUCGUACAUAAUGAAAUCAUCACACAACAGUACACGGAAAACAAAUGAUUCACGCGACGAUCGAUAAACCCUCCUUCUUGGGGGCGGCGAUUGAUAAACCCUCCUUCUUGGGGGCCCUAUUCCCGGGAAACGCAUUACGAGAAACAUCCACAAGUGCCUUGAAACUAUAUGGCUCAUGCAUUGAUAGCUCCGACAGCACCUUCCGGUUCAGCUGAAUGUUUUCCUUCAUCAAACCAUGCAUAAAGUUGCUGUAAUUCACCUGGAAAGAAAAAACGAAGAACGAAUAAUCAUAUAUAUAUAAAUAUAAAUAUACAAAGAAAAAAGGCAAGUUAUGCCAACUGGAGCUAUCAAUAUAGCGCGCAAUUGCUACAGCAAAUGAGGAACAAAGAAUAGGCGAAGAAAUCUUUGAGCUUCUCAAGCGAGUUACAGUUGUGAAGUAAUAUUCAAAUUUCAUUAAUCAAACACCUUUUGAAGCGGUAGUACCCUAAAUUCAAACAUAUAACUCCCCGUAGUUUAAUCAAAGCUCCAGCCACAAUUCUAAGAGUGUUCUGGAACAAAGACUUGAAGAAGCAAAAUGAUGCAUAUUCUACUCAUAAUAAUAUAAACCAAAAAGAAAAGAAGAGCAAAACAAAAAGCUGCUUGCAAACAGUCAAUUAGGCAUCUAAAACCCUAAUACAAAAUGAAAUUUUCCGGCCAUCUCAAAUUAUCUCUGAAACAUUUAUUUUUUAUGAACAAAAAAAAAAAGCCUCAAUAAACUAGCAUGAGAAGAAAGAAUUAUUUGAAAAGAUUACAAUACACAUGAACCUAAAUUACAAACAGCAUCCUCUGCAGUGAUUCCUCUAGCAGCCUUUAGGUGUCAAGACAUAGCCCUCUUGCUGCAGGUUAAUCCGACCACAAAUUGUGGAACAAAUUACACUGGCUAACUACAUGUCCACCAAGUUCAAUACUCAUAUAGAGCUUUGCCAACUUUGAGUUGCACACUAGAGAAAACCCCUUCUUAAGUCCGGGUAAAGGUACAGGUUAGAUGAAAGCCAGUCCACCAUCUAAUACCUUCAAUCUAGCGUCCGGCUAGUCAUAAGCCCUAAACAAAGGACUUUGCACACUAGAGAAAAACUAUUAUUAAGAAAAGGCUGGAGACGAUUGAUGUAUCAGUAAAUAGGAGAGAGGUAGAUGAACUUAACUGUUCCAAAAAUGGCUAGACUUUCUGAACCAUUCACAUGGUUUGAUCUAUAAACCAUCUGUUGUUUUGCUUAUAUCGCGUUUAUUUGGCAUAAUCAUGCAUUGCUAACUGAAUUCUGAACUUGAUAUAGUUAUUCCACUAAGUAGGCUAAUCUAAACAUGUGCCUUUUCCUACUGGAGCUCAAUCUUACGUAAGAGCAAAACAUUAAUCCAAGACAACAAAUGUCUUCCCAAUGGUCAAAUCAAGCAUUUAUCAACCAAUGCUUGAUCAUACUACACAUAAGUACAUGAAACGAGUUUCCCUCACAAAAUAUACACCUUUCAUGCAGCAAAAACAACUCACUGUAGGAAGAAAACAAUCCAUCUUCUUACAUUAGAUGUUUCUUGAAUUCUUUAGCGCAAGUGUUAUCUGUAAUGAUGGGUUGACCUUUGGAUAUCCCACUGGUAAUUGGAGUGCUGGGGAACCUUUCCACACCUUGGCGAAAGGACACCAUGUCUUCUCUUUAGGUAAUAUUGCGUGUGACUUUUCCUGAUUUUGUGCGGUUGUGUCUUUCCUAUUUGAAUACUUAAGUUGUUUAGGCAAUCCAAGAACACUAAUCUUUGUUCUAUUUAGGACCCUUUUGGUAAUUGAAAUAUAUAGGGAAUCCGGAGUUGGGGUGGAAACAUAUAGGAAUAUGCUUCUCCACUUACCAGCAGGACCACAGAAAAUAUAACGUAACUGACUCAUUACAAUAUACACAACGUGAAACUACGUACGGAAACAAAUAGGGUAAUUUUCAUUGGACAUCCUCGCCAUAUAUAACACAACUUCCCAGCAAUCCUGAACAAAGCCUUAGAGAUUACAAUAGUUUCUUUAGUUUAAAAAACGAUAUACAUAAUAUUUCAUUAGGAAAGUAUCAAGCCAUGAUAUGUCCGAUUUUCGCCAAUACGUAGAAUGCUAUAUUGACAUCUGUAGUUCAGAAUCCAAAUUAGACCCUUCAAUCCUUUUUAUUCAUAACCAAGAGAGGGUUCCUUUACGGACAAACUCUUUAACAACAGAUCAAGUUUUCCUUCAUUUAUGCUACAAGACCAUAGAAUUAUUGACCCCCCAAACAUGGAAACAAAAUGACAUAGAUGUACAUUUGUCUUGACCAGGAUGCUCAAAUGACUGUAUCUUAUGGAAUAACUAGUUUCAAGUGCCUAACCCCUAAUUUAGGGGCUGAUUGUCUUUUCAGCUCUAAAAUCUAAAACUUCAGGGCCUGUAUCUAUUUGAUCUUGAAGGGGGGGGAAACCAUUAAGUUCACAUUUGAUAUACACGAUAGGGACAACCACACCAUAAAAUAGCUCAUAAAUGCCAAAUUUUCUCUGAAUUAUUCGACAUCGACAGUAUGUAUGCCAUGCACAAAGAACAAAGAUGUGCUGCCUUGUGCAAAGAUGUGCUGCCAACUAAAUUCUAAGAUUACAGUUGUUCACUAAUUAAGCUAAUUUUAACAAGUGUCUUUUUCGACCUGAUCUACAUAUUGCAAAAAUAGAACAGCAUUAAACCAAGGCUAUGACUACCUUUCCAGCAAAAAAGCUCUUAAUCAAACAAUGCUCGGCUACACUAUGGAUAGAUACAUGAAAGGAAGUUUCUCUCGCAAGGUAUGUACACACUCUUUACCCCCAAAAAAAUACGUUGUAGGGAGCAAAUGCAAUCUAUCAUUUUAUAUCUAUUUCUAGGCCUAAUUUGGAAAUGUGUUGUCCAAACGCACUUGCUUUGAUACUUUACAAAGCCCGAAAAGAUUGAAAGCACUCUAACACUUUUAUCCUCUAAUGCUGAAAAAUAGUGGUAGGACUCUCCAAUGGCAGUUUCUUCUACCACCAUUAUAAAGCAUCAGACAAGGGAAGCUCUAAAGCACUUUUAAAUCUUUUGGACCUUCUAAAGCAUCAAAGUAGGUGCGUCUGGACAACGCAUUCCUAAACUAGCCCUACAAAAGUUAUAUGAUGAGAAAUUGCUUUUUCUUGACACAAUACGAUUUCUUUUAUGAACUAAAGGGAAGGCACACACCUUGCGCCCUAAACUCUCAUUCACAUAUUUAUCACCCUAAGGCAAUUAUUUCUUUUCUUGCUUUUUCCAACGUGCCGUUAAACCAGUGCUGCUCAAUGCAUUCCCAAGCCAAACAAUAGUAAUUCAAGAACUACAAUGACAAUACGAGUUACCCUGCGUGAAGAUACAUACCUUGUGCGCAAAAUUCCCGUUAAUAUACUUUUUUUUUUCCGUUUUCGUUUUUUUUUUUUUUCCACCAAUGCAUUCCCAAACUAAGUCUUACCAAUUCAAGAAUUGAAAUGACAAAAAUUGCAACUUUGAUUACCCCGUGAAGCCGCGCGCCGGCGUUGAUGCGCUCGAUCCAGAGCGACCGCAUGUCGCGCUUCUUGUUCCGCCGGUCCCUGUACGCGUACUGCAGCGCCUUCUCCACCCUCUCCCUCGCGAUUCGUAUGCAGUUCUUCGCCCUACCUCUGAAUCCCUUCGCCAACUUAAAGAUCUUGUCCUUGUUCAUCUUCCUUAUCUCCCCCCUACCACCCCUUUCCCUCUCUCUAACUGGGUUUACCUAUAUAUGCGUUUUGGGUCAACUCACUCCCAAUCCACACACAACAAACCCUAAAUUCGACCACACACGCACACAUACACAGAGGAGAGAGAGAGAGAGGGAACCUUGGAGAGGUGGAGGCGACGGAGAAGAUGCCAAUGGCGCAGGGAGAGAGAGAGAGAGAGAGAGAGAGAGAGAGAGAGAGAGAGAGAGGNUUUUCUCACCAAUCCCUCAAAGUAACGUCGUUUCAAUUUCCAAACUAUAUCAGCAAUAUAAGGUUUACGAGUUCCUCAACCCCUUGCUAGCUCAUUUUUGCAUGCUAUAUAUGUAAUGCCACUGUAAAAUUAGAAAACAAACAAACAACCUUUCAUUCUAAGCGUAAUUGUUUAGUUAAUUAUGUAUUCCGCUCAUAAACUUCAAAUAUCUUCCUAUGGUUUCGUAGUUUCUCACUUUAGUACCCUGUGGUUUAAAGUGUAUCAAGUUAGUACCAUGUGUUUUUAUUUUUUAUUUUUUAAUUAUCUAUUUCGGGAUAUUUUUUUUCGUUAAAUCGGUGACAAAGUUAAAACUAAAGGGUACUAAAAUGAAUAUUCAAUAAACCUAAAUAGGGCAUCUGAAUUUUUUAUAUAUAAUUUAACGAAAUAUUAAACCACAGGAUACUAAAGUAAGAAAGUGCGAAACCACAUGAUACUAACUUGAUACACUUUAAACCACAGGGUACUAAAGUAAGAAAGUGCGAAACCACAGGGUACUAACUUGAUACACUUUAAACCACAUGGUACUAAAGUGAGAAAGUGCGAAACCACAUGGGGGUAUUUGAAGUUUUUUCUAGAAUUUAUCUCAACUUUGAAUUAUUUGAAUCAGCUACGAAUCAUUCAAAUUUUUUACUGAGUCAACGAUACUUUGACUAUAAAAUUUAAAAUAAUUAUUUAUUUUAGCAAAUCUAUAAUUUUAAAAAUUACAUAAAAUAUGCUAAUUAAAUUUGUAAGGAUAAACAAUACAUUUAAAUUUUAAAGUCAAAAUGUCGCUGACACAUUCAGAUUAACAAAAUAAAAAAAAAAAUAGAUAGUAAGAUUAAAAUUUUAAAAUAUUAAAUAAUUAACUCAAAAUUAUCUAUAGUUCAAGUCUCAGUACAUUUUUAUUUUUUCUUUUUUUUUAAGAUAAAAAUGUAUCAAAACCCAUCAACUAUUGAGCAUUUUGAAAUAGACCACUCAACUUUUUUCUUUUUUAACUUGAGAUCCCCUCUUUAACCUCCUUUUUUCCGUUGAGUUAAUAAACCAAGCCCUAAAAUUUAAUGACACUAUUGUUUAUAUUAGCACUAUUAUUUAUAUUAGUUGUAAAAUUCAAAAUUAAGUGGUAACUAAAGUAAUUACAAAAAAUUCGUAAUAAAUUUUAGAUUUUAAAAUUUUAAUGGUGAUCUAUUAAUGUUAGGCAUGGUUUUCCUUUCAAUUACUUUUGUUUUUUUUUUCCUGCAAAAAUAAGUUAAAAUACUUCUAUUACUAAAUAGAGUUGUGUACGAAUAUUUUUUAUAACUAAUCCUAUCAAUUUUUAUAAUUAUAAAAAUAAUUGUCUUAAAAAAAAAUUAUAAAAAUAGACCUUUAAAUGCGGUGAAUGAUUCACCGCAUUCAUAACUUCUAUUUAGCAGCAGAAAAAUAAUAAAAGCGGUGAACUAUUCACCGCUUUUACCAUCGUAGAAUUAUAAUAAAAAGGAAGAAAAAGAAAAAAAGCAGUGAAUGGUUCACCACUUUUAUAAAAUUAUAUCUACAAAUAAAAUUUUAACAGGUUUAUUUUUAAAAUAAAAUUUUAGAAGAGAACUAUUGAACUAAAAACCCGGUUGUGUACUCAAGUAUCACCCCUGCGGUGAAACAUUCAAAUCAAUAAUUAGAUUAAAUAUGACUUAUGCUAUGUGAACUUCAUGAAAAUUAAAUUUUAUAAUAUUAUUUAUCCAGUCACCAAGUGCACUCAAAUUUACUAUUUAUUAGCCGUUGAAAAUUAUCAAUUUGAAAAUCACUUGAAUAUUAGACAAAUAAUAUUAAAAAAUUAUAAAAUUACUAUUGCAUGCAUUGCUAUAGCAAAACAAAUAUAGUGUGGGAGCUGCAUUGAGACAAGAAGGCCAAAAUUGCUUUAGAAAUAAAAUUAGACUAAAUUAUCAAAAAUUUUCUUGUAAAUAUAUAUUUUUUUUAUUUUUACUUUCUGGCUUUCAAAAAUCUAUAUUUUGCCAUCCUAAAAUUUCAAAAAUAUUUUCAGAAGAAUAUGACAUUAAUGGAGAAGACAAAGUUACCAAAUUGCCCUUAUUUUUUUAUAAAAAAUUUUAAUAUAUUUUUAUUAUUUUGAAGGGUAUUUCGAUAUAAAUUAUAAAAAAUAAACAGAACAGUGAUGAAACCCUGACGGAAGAAGCUAAAUGCAACAACUUGAAAUCUUUCGAAAGUAAAAUGUGAAUUUUUUACAAUUAGAGAAGGAAAGUGAAAAGCAAAUAUUUAUAAAAAAAAUUAUCUAUAAUUUAGCCAUAAAAUUAUUUAUAUUAAAAAGCACAAUAAAUUAACUAAAAUAAUCCCCAGUAACACUGAGGCCCCUCCACACUAGUUUAAUUACCUCCCCCAUUCUUUUCUUUUUCCCCUAAUUUUUUCCACAAUUAAAUGCACUUGAUGGACCAUUUAAUUUAAUUUAAUUUAAUUUAGUUUAAUGCUUUGAUUUGGGACCCCCUCUGCAAAAAUUCCAAGCAUAAUUUUUACACNAAAAAAAAAAAAAAAAAAAAAAAAGAAAAAUCUGUAAAAAGGAUGGAUUCCCACGGAUAAAACUGCAGCGUGAGCUUUUCAUCGACGCCUCGUUAGAAAUCUCUAAUUUAUUAAAUACUUUUUAAAUUUAAAAUUAAAAAUUUUAAAUUUUAAAAAUAUUUCAAUUAAUAUGUGAGGAUGAUUUGAAAUUUUUUGAUGAGACGUUUUCCUCGUAAUUAUUAUUAUUAUUAUUUAAUUUUUGGGUUGGGAGAGAGUCACGUGGGAGGGGUGGGAGUGGGAUGGGAGUGGGUGCGUCCUCUUUUGCCUCGCCCCGUCAUUCAGCGUCCGCUGCGGUGCGGUGGGUGCGCACCCGAAAAGAAGAUCCCAACCACCCAUGCCUCUCUCUCUCUCUCUCUCUCUCUCUCUCUCUCUCUCUCGCAUCCAAAUCACUCACUUAACCCAAAGCAAGAGAUUUUUUUAAAAAAAAAACACAAGCAAGAUGUGAUUAGGCCGACGCAAAUAGGGUGGGUCCGGAGACGGGAGGGGUCUUGCACCACCCACUCGGUUCUCUUGGUGGGUCGGGUCAGAUUUGAAACGGAGUGAUUUUUAUUUUACUCUUUGUCCCUCUUUAAGAUUUGUUUAUUUUACUUAUAAAGGAGAUGCAUGUUAAAUAUAAAAAUGUUUAAAUAUCGUUCUUUAAGUACAACGAUUGUUUCACAUGAUAUCAGAGCAGGAGAUCCUAAAUUCGAGUCAUAUCAUACUCCUAGCAUAUUAAUUUUCUCCCAUUUAAUACAAGCCCACGUCAUGGAUCGACUAAAAAAUCUCGAGCCCAGACGUGAGUCAAGACGUGAGGGGAAGUGUUAAAUAUAAAAAUGUUUAAACACCGUUCUCUAACAGCUUAAACUUUUAGAGUAUAAUGGUUGUUUCACAAUGCAUAGGUUGAAAUAAAAUUUCAGAUGAACUAGAAAUUUGAAAAAAAAAAUUACUAAUUUUUUUCUGUUUAUUUUUGUAACUGUGGAAUUGAAGUUCUUUCGUUUUUGCUGUUUGUUUGACAGAAAGUAAUUAGCGUAAAAGCUGAAGUUUCCAAAUGUUAAUAUUUUAUUAUUUUUUAUACUAUUUUUUCAUAAUUGACUUUCACCAAAAAUAGGGUGAAAUUAAUUUUAGUAUUUUAGAGAGUUUGAGUUUCAACUGUAUAUAAAGUUGCGAUGAACCAAACAACAAAAGUAGAUACUUACGGUUGAAAACCACUUCACUGCCCUCCACUUUUUAGUGAAACAAAUGCACCUUUAUCACUUCAUUUUGAAGUAGAUAUCAAAUCAGAUCAAGAAAAGAAAAGGAACCUCGUCUUCCACUCCCUCUUUUUAGCAGUUCAAGAUGUAUUUGAUACGAAUUAAUUUGCUUUCCUUAUUUUUCGCCUCCGCUCACUGCCCGUUCCGAACGAAUUGGAGCAGAAGCUUCAUUAACUCAGAUCUAUUUGCUUCCCUAACGGCACUAGUGUAAUUUGUAAGCAACCCACAAGUAGCUAUGUUAGCCUAUAAAUUGUGUACAAAUACACUCCAUAAAACAUUAUAUGUCUUUUUAAUUCUCUAUUAUGGACCGACUAAAGAUUCCGUAUUUUUAUACAUUUUUACUAAGAACUCAACAUCAUCGUCUUUCUUUUUCAUACUAGUUUCUUAUUCUAUCUCCAGUACAAAUAUAUCUAUCGACAUCAGCAUCUUUAGCUACCUUUCAGACGAAAAAAGCUAUUUGAACCGAAGAAUAGCAUUUCGAACAACUCACCGAAGAAGCACAAGCGACAGGCCAGAGGCCAUCCGAUCGAGUUUAACAACAUCUGGAAUUCCGCCGAUAGCUCCGAUCACACUUAGCUUCUAAGUUCCACAAAGGCUAUCUAUUAAAUUAUACGCGAGACUAUUCACAUUCUUCAAGCAACAAACUACGUUGCGACAAGCGCUUUCCACAGAAGCUCCACUUGAUCAUGUACACAAAGAAUCACUUUAAUUAGCAAUAACACAAACUUGAUCUCUUCUGAGUUUGUGGGAAAGGAGUCAAAAAGCAAAUAAAAAGGAAGAAGAAGAGAGGGGGUGGAGGAAGCACCAUCACCACGCCGUACACAUCUUUCGGCCAUUUACAUAUCAAUCCCCUGCAAUAGCAUUGCUCUUGUGUUAGGAAAAAAAAAAAAAGAAGAGCACUCCUCCCUAAAAAUUCCCAGUGCUAACUAAUGAUUACGGCGUUACGUCGCUAAUCUUUCAAAUGACACACGCGAAUAUCGCAUACUGUAUUACUUCAAAAUUCGUGCAUUUUAUUUGGCGGGCAAUUUUGUUCCAUGAUUACUGUUGUGAGAUUAAGUCGCACUUUUGCGUUUUCUAAAGUAAUAAAAGUAUGCUAAUUUUUUUAAGACGGACGCGCAUUAUUUAGCAAUUAAAAUAAGAAAGAGGAGGGAAAGUCGUUUGGUGUCCAAUAUUUGAAAUAGGACAGUCACGUGAGUACAGGUGGUCCCCACAGGGCACGUGAGGGCUUGUAAGAGGUUUGGUUGCUUCUGUAUAUAUAUAUAUAUAUAUAUAUAUAUAUAUAUUCUUAUCAAUUUAGGACGCGGAUAAGGAGAGUAUUUUCUAUAACGUAGAUUUUUUUUAUAUUAAAAUAACACCGUCCAAAUAAAAAUAAUUUAGAGUAGUUUUUUAUUAUAUUUGGCAUGAUUGCAUUGGCCUAAUAUAAUAAAUUGGAUAACUCGCAUGUUUGGUCCCGAAAGCAUGAGAGGUGUGGUAUUUUGAUUUUCAAAUUUUAAUUUAUUAUAAUUUUUAUAAUAUUUUGACUAAUAAUACGGUAAUAGUUAUAUUAGUAAUGCAUGAAUAUUUAGUCAACUAAAUUAAAUUGCGAGUCUAAAUUACAACAAUUCUUGAAAUUCGAAUUAAAAAUUAUAAUAGAUUAAAGUUAAAGAUUCAAAUUAUCACCCGCCACAUAGUUUGAGCACCAAAUGUACCAUUUAUUACCGAAAUCAAGGUCAAUACAGUUCCAAAUCUCUCUUACUCAAUCUUUUGUUAUUAGAAAGAAAUUAAUAUUAUCAAAAUAAAUGGCCAUAAUUCGAUUAUUUUAUGCUAUGACAAGAUUAAUUUUUCAUGUAUUGGAAUAAAAAAUUGUAAGAUUAUUAAGAACAUGGUAAGAGGGAGGGGGAGAGAGAGAGAGAGAGAGAGAGAGAGGCGACGUGAAUGGGGGAGCAAAAGAGAGGGUUUUGAGGGCUAGGGUUUUGUCGCACGGAUCGGUGGAGCUCGGAGGUGUCGAACCGAAGCGGACCGACUGAACCGGAAUGAUUGCGGCUUGGUUUGGUUUGGUGCGGUUCGGUUUAAGAUAAACCAUUUUUUUUGUAGAAAAGUUAUAGAAUUUAAAGAAAACUUCAAAUACCUGGUUUCGCUCUUUCUCACUUUAGUACCAUGUGAUUUAAAGUAUAUCAAGUUAGUACCAUAUGGUUUCGCACUUUCUCACUUUAGUACCCUGUGAUUUAAAGUGUAUCAAGUUAGUACUAUAUGGUUUCAUUUUUGUAUCAAGUUAGUACCAUGUGGUUUCAUUUUCCUCUUUUUAAUAUUCAUUUUGGGGUUUUUUUUUAUUAAAUCAGUGACAAAGUUAAAACUAAAGAAUACUAAAAUGAAUAUUCGAUAAACCUAGGUAGGGUAUCUGAAGUUUUUUAUAUAUAAUUUAACGAAAUAUUAAACCCCAGGAUACUAAAGUGAGAAAGUGCGAAACCACAGGAUACUAACUUGAUACACUUUAAACCACAGGGUACUAAAGUAAGAAAGUGCGAAACCACAGGGUACAAACUUGAUACACUUUAAACCACAGGGUACUAAAGUGAGAAAGUGCGAAACCACAAGAGGAUAUUUGAAGUUUUUUCUAGAAUUUAUGUCAACUUUGAAUUAUUUGAAUCAGCUACGAAUCAUUCAAAUUUUUUACUGAGUCAACGACACUUUGACUAUAAAAUUUAAAAUAAUUAUUUAUUUUAGCAAAUCUAUAAUUUUAAAAAUUACAUAAAAUAUGCUAAUUAAAUUUGUAAGGAUAAACAAUACAUUCAAAUUUUAAAGUCAAAAAGUCGCUGACAGGUUCAGAUUAACAAAAUAAAAAAAAAAUAGAUAGUAAAAUUAAAAUUUUAAAAUAUUAAAUAAUUAACUCAAAACUAUCUAUAGUUCAAGUCUCAGUACAUUUUUUUUUCUUUUUUUUUAAGAUAAAAAUGUAUCGAAACCCAUCAACUAUUGAGCAUUUUGAAAUAGACCACUCAACUUUUUUCUUUUUUAACUUGAGAUCCCCUCUUUAACCUCCCUUUUUUCCGUUGAGUUAAUAAACCAAGCCCUAAAAUUUAAUGACACUAUUGUUUAUAUUAGCACUAUUAUUUAUAUCAGUUGUAAAAUUCAAAAUUAAGUGGUAACUAAAGUAAUUACAAAAAAUUCGUAAUAAAUUUUAGAUUUUAAAAUUUUAAUGGUGAUCUAUUAAUGUUAGGCAUGGUUUUCCUUUCAAUUACUUUUGUUUUUUUUUUUUUUCCUGCAAACAUAAGUUAAAAUGAAUAUUUUUUAUAACUAAUCCUACCAAUUUUUAUAAUUAUAAAAAUAAUUUUCUUAAAAAAAUAAUUAUAAAAAUAGACCUUUAAAUGCGGUGAAUGAUUCACCGCAUUCAUAACUUCUAUUUAGCAGCAAAAAAAUAAUAAAAGCGGUGAACCAUUCACCGCUUUUACCAUCGUAGAAUUAUAAUAAAAAGGAAGAAAAAAAAAGAAAGCGGUGAAUGGUUCACCGCUUUUAUAAAACUAUAUCUACAAAUAAAAUUUUAACAGAUUUAUUCUUAAAAUAAAAUUUUAGAAGAGAACUAUUGAACUAAAAACCCCGUUGUGUACUCAAGUAUCACCCUUGCGGUGAAACAUUCAAAUCAAUAAUUAGAUUAAAUAUGACGUAUGCUAUUUGAAUUUUGAACUUCAUAAAAUUAAAUUUUAUAAUAUUAUUUAUUCAGUCACCAAGUGCACUCAAAUUUACUAUUUAUUAGCUGUUGAAAAUUAUCAAUUUGAAAAUCACUUGAAUAUUAGACAAAUAAUAUUAAAAAAUUAUAAAAUUACUAUUGCAUGCAUUGCUAUAGCAAAACAAAUAUAGUGUGGGAGCUGCAUUGAGACAAGAAGGCCAAAAUUGCUUUAGAAAUAAAAUUAGACUAAAUUAUCAAAAAUUUUCUUGUAAAUAUUUUUUUUUUUAUUUUUACUUUCUGGCUUUCAAAAAUCUAUAUUUUGCCAUCCUAAAAUUUCAAAAAUAUUUUCAGAAGAAUAUGACUUUAACGGAGAAGACAAAGUUACCAAAUUGCCCUUAUUUUUUUAUAAAAAAUUUUAAUAUUUUUAUUAUUUUGAGGGUAUUUCGAUAUAAAUUAUAAAAAAUAAACAAAACAGUGAUGAAACCCUGACGGAGGAAGCUGAAUGCAACAACUUGAAAUCUUUAGAAAGUAAAAUGUGAAUUUUUUACAAUUAGAGAAGGAGAGUAAAAAGCAAAUAUUUAUAAAAAAAAUUAUCUAUAAUUUAGCCAUAAAAUUAUUUAUAUUAAAAAGCACAAUAAAUUAACUAAAAUAAUCUCCAGUAACACUGAGGCCCCUCCACACUAGUUUAAUUACCUCCCCCAUUCUUUUCUUUUUCCCCUAAUUUUUUUCACAAUUAAAUGCACUUGAUGGACCAUUUAAUUUAAUUUAAUUUAGUUUAAUGCUUUGAUUUGGGACCCCCUCUGCAAAAAUUCCAAGCAUAAUUUUUACACAAGCAAUACAAUAAGACUCACACAAGCAAAUUACACUGAGCUCCACUUCAAUAAGUAUGAUCAUCUCAAAGGGUUGAGCUACUCAGCAUAGUCAAGAGAAUAGCCAUUCCAUUCCAACCCUCAUCAGCACAAAACAAAAUUUGUCGAAGAACUGCGCCAUCGGAAGAUGCCAGUGUAGUUCCUUCCAGCGAAUUUACGGCAUUAGGAAAACAUAGAAAGAAGUAGAAAGGUGUUUCUUCGGCAGAAUAUCUCUCCGCGCAGAGAAAGCACCAAGAUAGCCAAGAACCAGUAGGUAGUAGGGGCGGAACCUCGAUCUUAUAGCAAAGUAAGCAUGAUUUGGUGUAGAAUCGAAAUACGAUCUUCAAAACGACGAGUCAGCGGUCGCAUCUUUAGAUUUGGAGGGCAUCGGCGAUUGAGCCGGCGAGGCUCAGCACCUCGAAUGGCAUCCUGUUGGCGAUGGCCUUAACUGUGAGAGGGCACGAGUCCGUGAUCCAGAAAUAAGCAAACUGGUUCCCCGAGCCAUCUGAACGGAGAGGUUAAAAUGAUCCGGUUAAACUAUCAAGGCAGGAAAGUUAGCAUAUAGCGGGAUCAAAGAGAUGUAGAUUACCGGCAAUAUUACUGUGUAGAAAUUGCUCCCAUGACUGCUUAGGGAACACGGCAUGGGUGACAUACGCGCUUACUUUUGCCGCACCAAAAGCAGCCAAGACUUUCUGCCAGAAUUAAAGAAGACAAUAAAUAGGUAUCUUUUGCAUUGGUUUCAGUAUGGAAUUAUUUACGUACAUGUUUGAAGAAAAGGAAGUUUAUGCGUUGGUGAUUUCGGAUGGAAACAUAUAAAUAAAUGGAAGCACACAAUUGAAGUAUGCGGUUAUAGCGUAUGUUAUCGUUUAUUAUUCCCGGAUGCUCAAAAGCCAUUUCUAGUUCAUAUAGGGAAGAUGGCAUUAGAGGAAGUUACAAGCUUUAACCUCCAAUACUGCAAGCAAGCUUUAACUUCCAAAAACUAUGGAGACGAAAAACAUGUAUAAAGAUCAAAUUCAUAUCCUUCAUAUUGAUGACAAAUCAAGACGGCCUAUAUUGGUAUAGAUACCUGACACUCGAUGAGAGUUCCUCCAGAUUGCACCAAGUCAUCCACAAUGACGACAUGUCGGCCUUCAGGGUUCCCUUCCUUAAUCCGAACUAUCCUCUUAUCGCCUUCACGAACCUUUGCACAAACAACCUGUUAAUAGAAGAGCUUGAGUCAGAUUAGUCAAGUGUAAAUCAAUCCUUCGAAAUUUUUUUUUAAAAAAAAAAUUCUAACCAUUGGAAAAUGCAGCAGUAGCUUGUGAAACCGCUUCCAUGCCCCAUCAUCUGGAAAUGCUAUAGUUAUCUGCAAGAAAAGAAAUAAAUAUAGAUAAAGAAAUAAGGGUAGAUUAAUGGACAGAUAGAUAUAAAUGUUGCUUCCCAAGUUCAGCUACUCAAAUAUUCGAUAAAAAGUAGUUAAAGAUACACAGGUUAUAAAAAAACAAAGCUAGGCAUGAUACAUACAUUAUCAGCAUCAGGAAGUUGACGAAGGCGCUGCAACAAUAAUGGAAUCCCAGUUUCAAAGCAAGGCAAAAUGUCAUCCCCAAAGUAGAAUCUUUCCUGAAGAACAAAAGUAAUAGUCCAGACAUAUGAAAACUAACAAAAGCAGAAUACUAAAGUAAAUUACAAAAGCAAAAGACACAGGGACCAUCGAAGAAGACAUAUAUAUAUAUAUAUAGAAAGAGAGAGAGAGUGGGUUUUGUGUGCUAUUAGGAGCACAGAGGCCUCUGUGCUCCUAAGCCGUUUUCAAUGAUAUAACUUCCAAAUUCACGAUCGGCUCCGUUAGACUUGAUCUAGCGUAUUUGAACUAUCUAGAAAAUAAAUUUUGCAGUUUUUCAAUAUCAUUUACCUAGUGAUUGAAAGGACUCAAAAUCACUGGUUGAAAAUAAAAAUCUCACAAAAAGUUAUGAUAUAGCACUGAAAUUUUUGAUCAAAAAUAUUGAACUUGUUGUAGAUAGUAUUAAAAAAUUUCUAUUAAAAUUUCAUCUAAUUUGAAUACUUCUACAUCGUUAAACUUGCAAAUGGCAUACAUCAACCAUUAAAAAUUGUUGAUUUUGAAUCCUUUCGAUCUCUAGGUAAAUGAUAUCGAAAAACUGCAAAAUUUAUUUUCUAAAUAGUUCAAAUACGCUAGAUCAAGUCUAACGGAGCCCAUCGUCGAUUCGAAAGUCCCAUCAUUGCAAACGACUUAGGAGCAUGGAGGCUUCCGUGCUCCUAACAGCACACAAGUCCUACUCUCUCUCUCUCUCUAUAUAUAUAUGUGUUCCCUGACUACUGAGCCGAAUCCAGCUCAAAAUGUGAGUAGAUUCUCUAGUAAGGAGAUCGACAUAUCUUUUACGCAGUCUCCAGGUCCCACUCAGUCUUUGUUAGGCAAACUCCUUUUAUUUGAUUGGUUUAAUAGUUCUCCUUGAUCUACAGAGAUCAUGAUUAAUAAAGCAACUCGAUGCAAACAAAAAUCUCAUAGCUGAUAUAUUCUGUACUUUGUUAUUUUUCUUCUUUUUCAUGCUAUUGAGGCCAAAGUUCCAAGUAAAAAUUCUGAAGGGCAAGUCUACGGUGCACCAAAACUGUUAGUGGGUCGCCAUCUUUUCUGCAAAUGAGUUGUUUUCAACUUUUUAUCUAAUCCCAUAGAAAGAAAGUAGAUGUUAAGGCAAGUUUCGUUGAAAAGGAAACAUGAGAUUUAGAAAAAUGCAGCUUUUUCGCCAUCUUCACAAUUUAAUGCACUUAAAUUGCAUUUGAUAUACUUCAUUUAAGGCCAACUUAGUUUUAAACCAUAUAACUUAGUUUUAAACCAUAUAUACCAAAUUGUUUUCCACUCCAUUUACCAGAAACACAUAGCCGUAAAGUCCAAGAUGAACCUAAAUAAAUCCACAAGAAUAUAAACAACAGCAUGAUACACUGAACGUCACUAGAUGCAACUUCACAAGUCUCUAUACUGAAAUUAAUCAGAGAAGCAUGCAAGCAAGAUGUUACUGUAAAUAUUCAUGGAAUGACGAUUAAACUACAGAAGUGAAUUCAAGCUUUAGUUAUAAAACAAACCAACCUGCAAAGCAUGUAUAUCAUAGAUGACUAGACUAGUUGGGCCGCCCCUUGAUUUAGGAAUCAUUGACAAUAUUCUUGCCAUAGUAAAUGCAGUAGCCACAUCUCCUUCCUCUUCCAUGCGCUCAAAAGAACCAGUUGGAAAGAAAGGCAACACCAAAGUGAAAGAUGCAAUAAACAGCUUCGGCAAGGCAAAUAUUGCAGAUAUUUGCUCGAAAAUAACUCCAGGCGAGCUGAAAGAGGCUAAAAAGGCAACGUGCUGUCCUCGAAUAUCUUGCGCAUUGUUGAUAAAGAGAUUAGGGAAUCCAUCUUCAAAUUUUCUGAAAUAAACACAUGAAAAUGAUAAACACAUUAUUUCCCAGGAAAAGAAUAACCAUCAUGUGAAAUUGGUAUUCAAAUAUUAGAGAGCUGCAGAUUUUAAUACUGUAACAUCUACCACCACCAACUAAAUGGAAACUAGUUAAAAAAAAAAAAAAACCUUACAUGAACUGCAAAGAUAUACUUUGUUUAGGUAGGAUAAAAAAGAUAAACGACGGGAAAAGGACUAUCAUUAUUGUACUACGAAGCGAUAAAGAGCAGGUAAAAUGUUCCUUUACUAUAUAAGAGUAUCCAGUAGCAAAACACCCCUUUUUUUCCUUUUAACCAAACUCACUUAUAUAAGGGUAAAAUGUUCCUUUUUUUCCCUUUACUAUAUACAGCAUUCCAAACACAUAACAAGCAACUUAGUAGAGGGUUGGGAAUUGGGUGGCACCAUAAGAACAACAAAGAGUAUAUAAGAGUAUCCAAUAGUAAAGCACCCUUUUUUUCACCCUUUUAACCAAACUCACUAAUAUAACUACAAUUUGAUCUUUUUAGAAUAUGAUUUUCCAACAAUCCACAAACAUGUGGAAAUCACAAAAAGGAGAAGAGGCAAUGACUCCAUAAGCCACAAAAGAAUUUUUCUUUUUUUAAAGAGAGAAUCAAGCUCAGAUUUUUAAGCUUUUACAGCACUCCAAUCACAUAACAGGCAACUAAUUAGAGAGUUGGGAAUUGGGCGGUACCAUAAGAACAACAAAAAGUAUAUAAGAGUAUCCAGUAGUAAAGCACCUUUUUUUGUCCUUUUAAUCAAACUCACUUAAAUAACUGCAAUUUGAUCUUUUUAGAAUAUGAUUUUCCAACAAUCCACAAACAUGUGGAAAUCACAAGGAGGAGACGAGGCAAUGACUCCAUAAGCCACAAAAGAUUUUUUUUUUUUUUAAGAGAGAAUCAAGCUGAGAUUUUUAAGCUUUUACAGCACUCCAAACACAUAACAAGCAACUUAGUAGAGAGUUGGGAAUUGGGUGGUACUACAAGAACAACAAAGAGUAUAUAAGAGUAUCCAGUAGUAAAGCACCCUUUUUUUAACCAAACUCACUUACAUAACUACAAUUUGAUCUUUUUAGAAUAUGAUUUUCCAACAAUCCACAAACAUGUGGAAAUCACAAAGAGGAGAAGAGGCAAUGACUCCAUAAGCCACAAAAGAAAUUUUUUUUUUUUAAAAAAAAGAGAGAAUCAAGCUGAGAUUUUUAAGCUUUUAUAACAGUCCAAAGACUAUAUAAGAGUAUCCAGUAGCAAAGCACUCCUUUUUUUUUUCCCUUUAACCAAACUCACUUAUAUAACUACAAUUUGAUCUUUUUAGAAUAUGAUUUUCCAACAAUCCACAAACAUGUGGAAAUCACAAAGAGGAGACAAGGCAAUGACUCCAUAAGCCACAAAAGAAAUUUUUUUUCUUUUUUCUAAAAAGAGAGAAUCAAGCUCAGAUUUUUAAGCUUUUGCAGCAGUCCAAACACAUAACAAGCAAAGAAUCAGAUUACUGGGCGAUUUGAACAGUAGGAAACGAUUGAAAGGGAAAAACAAUAACAAGAGUAAAACAGAAGCAUGUCCCAAGGAAGCAGAGAAGAGAUGGAAGAGGAGAGAGGAGAGGUCACCUCCAGGCGAUGGACUGGAGCUGGAUGGAGUGGUGCGAUUGCUCGGCCACCUUCUUCGCCAGCUCUUCCGACUCGGCGCAGUAAAAUAGCUGUAUCUGCUUCUUCUUCCCACAUUCCCUCUUCUCCUCCAUCGACACUCCCCAAACCAAAUCUCAAAUCUCUCUUUAUCUCUCCCUCUCUCUCUCUCUCUCUCUCUCUCUCUUUCUCUUUUUUGUGCGGAAGGGACGGAAUCGAUCAACGAAAAGUAGGCACAGGGGAUCGAGUAAGAACCCUAGUUCCAGGAGAUCGAUCGGAGAAGAAACCCUAGAUCGCGAUCGCAGGGGAGGACGAGGGAGGCGAGGUAUCGUUGUGAGCGGUGGGAAUCUGAGGAGGAAGGCGAAGCCAGAGAAAGCAAAGAACCGGAACCGGGCCUUAAACACUCUGCAGAAUAUUAAAAAUGGUAAACUUCAAAUAUCACCUCGUGGUUUCGCAGUUUCUCAUUUUAGUAUCUUAUAAUUUAAAGUGUAUUAAUUUAGUACCUUAUAGUUUUUUUUUUUUUUUUUCUCGUCAGCCCCUCCAUUAACGUUUCGUUAAAUUAGAUACAAAAAAAAAUUAAGAUACUCCACCUGAGUUUAUCGAAUAUUCACUCUAAUAUUUUUUAGUUUUAACUUUGUUACUGAUUUAAUGAAAAAAAGGAUUAGUGAAAGAAAUACUAAAAAAGGAAAAAUAAAAUUACGGGAUACUAAAUUGAUAUAUUUUAUACCAUAGGAUACUAAAAUAAUAAAAAUAUAUAAAACAAAAGGGGUGAUAUUUAAAGUUUUUUUAAUUAAAAAUUAGCGUACAACAAGACUUUUGCCCCACCAAAAUAAUAAGCCAAGACUUUAUGCUAGAAUUAAAAAAAAAGAGACAAUAAAUAAAUGAAAUUAUUUAUCUACACGUUUUAGGAAAAAGGAGUUUAUACAUUGGUGAUUCAGAUGGAUGCAUAAAUAAACAAAUGGAAGGACAAAAUUGAAGUAUGAGGUUAUACACUUAUACUAGUGCAGGCCUGAGCAUAAUAUUUGAUAAUUAAUAUUUUAUAAAAUAAAAUAUAAUAUAUGAUAAUUUGUAUAAAAAAUUUAUGUAUGCAUUUGGUUGGGGGUUAGAGGAGGAUAAGGGGUUAUCCCCUUAUCCCCAAACACAUGUUGUUUCGUUUGGUUUGGAGUUAAGUAAGAACUAGUUAUUUCAGAGAUAGAUAUAAGUUUAGGUGUAAGUCUGGAAUAGACCAAUUUUACGUUUUCAUCUAAGUCUGGAAUAGACCAAUUUUACGUUUGGAUGAAAAUUGAGUUGUCGUCGGAAAUAAGAAAAAUAGCAUUUGAAUAGAUAAAAUGGAAUAAGAAGAAUAGUGGUUAGUUAUAAAUAGAAAAUAAUGAUAUUACUCCUUAUAUUUGAAUUUAAAUUUUUAAAUUUUAUAUUUAAAAUUUUAAAUUUAAAUAUAUAACUUUAAAAAUAAAAAAAUUAAAAUAAAUUUUAAAUUUUUAUGUAGUGUCCUGAAAUUAAAUAGUAUAAUAUUACUUUUUACGGAAUGAUUACAGUCAGUGAUUUAAUCGACACAUUGGAAAACUAUCGAGAUAAGUUAGAUUUAAUUUGGAUGCAAAAUUGAUGUCACAAUUAACUAACAGUUUUCUUAUUUUGUGCCUAAGACACAUUGCACCAACCCCAACCACCCAAAACUUAGAUUUUUGGAGUCUAGUGGGUCGCUGGACCGGACUCCUCCUCCUUCCUCUCUCUUUUCCUCUCUUUUCCUUCCUCCUCCAUUCACUUCUUCUCUUCUCGAAUUUUUUUUAUAACUAAUCCUAUCGAUUUUUAUAAUUAUAAAAAUAGUUUUCUUAAAAAAAUAAUUAUAAAAAUAGACUUUUAAAUGCGGUGAAUGAUUCACCGCAUUCAUAACUUCUGUUUAGGAGUAGAAAAAUAAUAAAAGCGGUGAAUGGUUCACCGCUUUUACCAUCGUAGAAUUAUAAAAAAAAAGUGAGAAAAAGAAAGAAAACUGUGAAUGGUUCACCGCUUUUAAAAGUGAUAAAUCAUUCACUGCUUUUAUAAGACUAUAUUUAUAAAUAAAAAUUUAACAGGUUUAUUUCUAAAAUAAAAUUUUAAAGGGAGACUAUUGCACUAAACACCCCUCUCUUCUCCUCUCCUUGUAGCCAGCUCCUGUGCAGGACUCAAGUUGCAGCCAGCAACAACUUUGGAGCAACCAAGCUGCCAGCAGCUUUCCGCAGGCUGGUAGUAUUGAGUUAAGAGUUUGGGGAGCUAUUUGGAUAUGAUUUAAUGCUCCAUUUUUGAAAUAUACUGCUUGCACUUGUGUGGGGAGAAGUUAGAAGUUAGCCCAUAUCUUCCUUGAGCUGGAAUUGAAGGUUAGUGGCCUAAAUUUUAAAGUUGAUCAAGGUUGGUUCAAUGUUGGAAUUUCAGGCUGAUUUCGUCCAUUGUCAGAAUUCAUUAAUGUUCAUAUAAAUUUUCUAUAGGGACUAAGCUUUGAAAAGGUUGGGAGUGAUCUUGACUUCGUCCUCUACUGCAUAGAAUCUUGUUUGAAUCAAUUCGGAGGUAAAAUGAAUGAGAAAUUCAUUUUUCGUUAAGGUCGAAGACCGAAAAAUUAUUUUUCGUCGAUGCUGAAAUUUGGACCUUUAUCUUUUAUUUGUGAUGGAAUUUCCUGGGGAAUAAAGGUUUUUCUUGUAGUGGAAACCCCUAAGAUCACUUGUGGACAAGUACCAAUUCCCAAUUUCGUUGUUGGUGGGUUGGUGGAGCAAGAAUGAAGUGCGAUUCACUACUGGUAGCUUAGAAGCAAGCAGCGGCAGCAAUAGUAGAAAUGGUAGCUGGAUUUUGGGGGAGAAUUGAUGGAAAUUGAUUAUUCCAAUCAAACAAUUCUAGCAUCCUCAUGAAUCAAGUGUUGUAUGGAGCCAGGGGAGAAAGUUAUUGAGCUACAUUGUCAAUGAAGAGGGCUUCAAUUGAGGUGAUUUUGUUGUAAUGCUGAAAUUGAGAGCAUUUGAUUUUAUAUUGGGAGUUUUGACUCCAAUUCUCUUAUGUGAGAUUCUUAGGACUUUCUUGCCAAUCCACACCUUUAUGUUAGCCAAAUUGAUGUUGCCCCCAGCUGAACUUUAAGGUACAUUGGCUCAAUUGUUGUUUCCAAGUCGAAUUUACAUGCAUAAUCGACUUUCGUUAGAAUUCUUACUCGGGUUGUGAAUGCAUUAAAUCCGGCAGGGAGUUUUGGAAUCUGCCCUCACCUUCCAUUUAUUUGGAGCUGGGAGAAAGUGCUUGUGAAGUUUCAGUUUGGUCCGUAGUCGGAUUAGCCCUCCAGGUGGAUUAAUGUUUACCGAAAUCGUUGGAUUUCUUUCUAAGUCAUAGAAUUGUCAGCAUGUAUUCUUGACUUUGUUCAUCAUGUUUAGUAGCUCGAAUUCUGAUCGUGGAAAGGGAGUUGCAAGCUAGAUCCUUUCCAGACUUGUUGCAGUGCUAGAAGAGUACCUCCUACAGGUAGUUUUGGAGUUUUUAUAAACAUAUGGUUGUUGUUUGUGUAUUCGCUGGAGCGAGUGAUGUAGUAGACUUUUUUGUAUGUACUAGAACCCCUCGAGGUUAUAGAUAUAUAUAUAUAUAUAUAUAUAUAUAACCUCUUGAGUCUAGCCACCACCCAAAAUGCUUAAGCCAGGUUAAGAGUUCUAGCCCUAUUAUAUUUUUUAUAUAGGACUAUCUGGGGUCUCACAAUCUCCCCCUCUUUAAGCUCUGACGUCUUCGUCAGGUUCAGACUCACAAGUACCAGGCGAUGUGAGACUCGUCUCGCUAGCCUCAACCGACCUUGGGGGGGGGAGCCGCGCUCUACUCACAACAGUCAACAGCAUGAGAGCCUCACUCUCCCCGCUGUAUAAUCCCGACUCAGCCGAGACUCAUCUCACACUUCCAGCUGGUAAUUGGCUCUGAUACCAAUUGUGACGCCCCAACUUCCCAGGGAGUCACCCAUCCUAGGAUCACUCUCAUCCUAGCACGCUUGACUCUUUUAACCUCUUGGGCCUAGCCACCACCCAAAAUGGUUAAACCAGAUUAAGAGUUCUAGCCAUAUUUUAUCUUUUAUAUAGGACUAUCUGGGGUCUCAAAGGGGGGAAUCGAAAAAGUCGGUGGGCUCCACCAUCUCUCAAGCAAGAAAAGAGCUGCCGUACUUUUUUUGGGUUCCCCUUUCAUGUAUUACCUAUAAGAUGUUAUCGUUUGUUAUUCCUGGCUACCAAAAGCCACUUCUAAUUCAUAAAGUGAAGACAUCAUUAGAGAAAUUUUACAGACUUUUAACUUUCAAAAAUUACAAUGAUAAAAACCAUAUAUAAAAAUCAAAUUCCAAUUCUUAAUGUUGACAACAAAUCAAGACAGCCUAUAUUGCUAUCGAUACCUGACACUUGAUGUGUUGUAUCGAAUAAGGCUUCAAGGUGUGUAGCAAAGUCGCCCUUUUUAAAACUUAAUUCAUCCCCACUAUUUGAACAAUUUGGUAUGUACUGAGCUUUCCAGGAUACGAUAAAGCAUAAACCACAACUAUGAUUGCACACACAAAGUUAGACCUUUGAGCACUUACUCGAUUAAAUUCUAAAAAAGAAAUAGAAUGAGAAACAAGAAAGAGGUUAUUAUGAAUGGAGACUUGAACUCUUUAUCUGUCCUUCAGCAGUCAACGUUAUAGGCUUAUAUAGACAACAAAUUGAUGUUUCACGAAGUGACAAUUUAUGAACGGGUGUUUCAUGAAUUCACUUUUUAAUUUAUGACUUUUCAUUUGGUCAUAACUACCAAUAAAUUAUAUGAGUCAAAUUAAAUGAAUACAAGAAUUAAUUCCUAUAGACAUUUGCAUGAAAGGGCACAUUAUAAAGUUAUAUCUUUUCAUAUCUAAUUUCUUCACUAAAAGUCACAUUCUUUCACAUUCAUUCACUAAAUGUCAUACUCUUUGAUUAGAGUCACAUUUAUUUACUAAGAGUUGCAUCCAUUCGCUAAAAAUCAAAGUGCAAAAUAACUAUAUUAUUUGAAAAUUGUCUUACAUAAUGAAAGUUCUCUGGAUUGCACCAAGUCAUACACAAUGGCGAGAUGUCGGCUUUCAAGGUUCACUUCAUUAUUCCGAACUAUCAUCUUAUCGCCUAAACGAACUUUUGCACAAACAACCUACGAAUAGAAGAGCUUGAGUCAGAUCGGUCAAGUGAAUGAAAAUCAAUCUUCCAAAAAAAAAAAAUAAAUAAAUCUAACCAUUGGAAAAUGCAGCGAUUGCUUAUGAAACCUCUUCCAUGCCCCAUCAUCUAAAAAUAUAGUUACAUGCAAGAAAGAAAUAAAUAUAGAUGCAAAAAAUAAAGAUAUAUUAGUGGACAAAUAGAUAUAAAUUUUGCUUCCCAAGUUCAACUACUCAAAUAUUUGAUAAAAAGUAGUUAGUCAGAGAUAAAUAGAUUAUUAAAACAUAAAGAUAUUCAUGAUACAUUCAUUAUCAGCAUCAGGAAGUUUGAUGAAGGUGCUGCAAUGAUAAUGAAAACAUAAUUUCAAAGCAAAGCAAAAUGUCAUCCCCAAAAUCGGUUCUUUUCUGAAGGACAAAAGUAAUAGUCAAGACGUACGUAAAGUAACUAACAAAAGUAGAAUAGUAGAGUAAAUUAAGAAAGCAAAAAAACUGGGACCAUCGAAUGAGACAUUAGAUAAUGUCUUCCUUAAAUAGGCACAUAAACUUCAAACAGAUUGAUUAGCACACAAAAAAAGAAUAAAAGCGUUGUGGAUGAACUUUGUACUUUUCAUCAUUGAGGGGCCGUUUGGUUGGAUGUAGUUGUAAAAACAGUGCAGUUGAAAAUACAUGCAGUUGUAAAUGCUGCAGUCAUAACAAUACCUAGUCUGUUUGGUUUUAUACAGUUGCAACUGCUGCAAUUACAUUUCUUCUGUUUGGCAGUCUGCAGUUGAGAUUUGUAUUUAUAAAUUCUGUAAAUUUUCAGAUAGAAAGAUAAGAUUACUUACCUCUUCUGAUCAUAACGUAAUUAUGUUCUGAUCAUAACGUAAAUAAGUACCAAUAGAAGGCCUUUCCUAAAACCGAUUGUUAACUUUCCCGAUUGAGCUUCCACAAGAACUCUUUACUCUAGGGCUGACGUUGAGGGCCCAUAUCUUGCACCAAGUCGAGAAAGGAAUACUAUUAUCAUCAAAAAUAUCUUUGUAGGAUUUCACAAAUAAUGAUAAGCAGUAUUAAUCGUUAGGGCUCCUUGUUUUUUUUUUUUUUUAUCAAGGGUCUAGAUCCACUUAUCUUCGCAAUCAGCAAGGGGAAUUUGGAUAUUCAUGAUUUGAUCAACAAUAUUCAAACCAAACAAAAUCGACAUUUCAAGCAUUUCUAGCAAUCAAUCUCGUCACUUUUUUCUUAAUGAGAUUGAAAGAAGUGUUAAUGAAUGUAGGUUUUCAAAUUGGAGGAACAUUAAACACCCAUGGGUCCUCCUAGCAGUAGUUUUUAUUUUUAUUUUUUUUAUUUUUAAUUUUAUUUUUUUUAUAUCAUUACCAAUUGAGAAGGCCUUUCCUAAAGCCAUGUAUGGAUCUUCUAAUAAGUGCCUUGGUCAUUACAAAAAAUAAUUUUUUUUCCUUUCACCCAAGGCCUUGCAAAGAUGAAAGUUUUUACACUUCCCACAUUAAUUAACUCUAAAUAACUAUUGGCACUUUUAAAGGCUUUGGGGGUUAAAAGAGCUCUUUUCGUAAUAUCAAGAUCCUUUAUUCCUAAAUCACCUUCUACUUGACAGGAUGUCACAACAUCCUACUUUAGAAGGUGCAUAUCUUUUUAAUUUUCAAUUUUUUCCCGAAAGAACCUUUUAGUAUACUCAGAAAAAUCAUUAUUAAUAGGCUAAAUUACAAAAAAUCUUUUUGUUAAUACCUGCUUUUCUUACUUUUCUCUCCUGUCAUUCAAAAACCUACCUUACCCCCUUAAAAAAUUAAAAAUGUUCACUUUGACCUAUAUUGACCGUGUUUUGUUAGGAUUCCGUUUAUAUCCUAUCUUUAUAACCAAAAUAUCCCCGAAACCUUUCUCCUUCCUCAUCCUCAGCAGCACCGCCUCUCCCUCGCCCACCUCUCUGUCCAUGCCCACACACACGCCCUCACCUGCCUCCGCCGCCUCGCCCUCGCCCUCGCCCAUCUCUUCGUCCACACCCACCCCGAAGAAAAUAAGGGGUAAUUUAAUCAUUUUGUCGCAACGUACCCUUCUGUGAACAUUUUUUUACUUUUUUAAGAGAAUAAAAUAUAGGUUUUUGAAUGACAUAAGGGAAAAGUGAAAAAACGGAUAUUGACAGAGAGGUUUCUCUAAUUUAGCUUUAAUAAUAUGUUGAGGAAUAAUAGAAUUUUCAAAAAAACAAUUCCGGAUAGGAAUACGGAAACCCUUGAUGAGAACAACUCUACCGACUUGGAAAAACAUAUCAUGCUUCUAACCACCAAAUUUAGAGCUAACCUUAAUAAACAAAUUAUGAAAAAAAAACAAUACCAAGCUUCUGAGAGGACAACACAAUACUAAGAUAUAAUAAAUACGCUAACGACACUAAAGACUUAAUUUAGAAAGAAUUGUAAAAAAAUUAUGAUAUACCCAACUAAAAAAGUAGGAUUAAAAAAUAUAAAUUAGUUAUGAUAUAUUUUUUACGGCCUCAUUUGAAAAUACAUCACACCGCUAAUUUCAUUUCAUUAUUUUCGUAGGCACCUGUGUUGAAUCAUACAAGGCCAUGAUUAAAUGCGGUAAAAGUAUAUGGAGACCCUUUUAUUAUAAAAAAUUCUGAAAAAGCUCCUUAGAUGAUAUUUUGUCUGUUAAGACCUUUCAUUUGUUUAUUUUUUGGAUUCAAAUAAUUAUAGCCAAAUAAUUUGGGGAUUUUACCAAAUACAUUGACAAUUAUAUCAAAUUUAAUAGUUUUACUUUGAAUUAUUUAUCUAACUUUCUAACUUAAUUAACUAAAAAAAAUUCAAACCAAAAGUUACAAGGCAAAAAGUCAAAUUUGAGGGAUCCAUUUCAAACGUACAAUAGUUAGGGGGUCUCCGUACAUUUUUCCCAUGAGUUGAUACAACAACCUCUUCGUCGCGAAUUCGCACGCACCGAAUCGCGAUUUCUCGGGCCCUCGUCUCCGACCCUCUCUCUCUCUCCCCCCCCUCGUCUCCUUCCUCCUCUCUCUUCCUCCCUCUCCUACACUUUCUCUCUCUCCNCGCCGGAGGGCCAUGGACGAGUUCCCCGGGCUCCUGGCCCGCGACUUCGGCUUCCGCCCCCAGGACAAAUCCGCGCCCAUGGCCGCGUCGAAGCUGUCCUCCUCCUCCUCCUCCUCCGCCUCCGCCUCGUUGCGGAGCAAUCCGAGAUCCGGGUGGAGCCAACCCGAUCCCCUCCUCGGAGACCCCGCGAUCGGCCCCAUCUUCGACGGGUUCGGGGAUUCGGGAUCGAAAUCGGCUUCGUCGUUGCCGGUGUUCGACAAGCCCGUAUACGACGACGACAUCUUCGGCGGAGUCCCCGGGGUGAAGAGCUCCUCGGUCGCGUACGACGACGUCUUCGCGUCGAUGAUGCGGUCGGGGCCGAGCCACGCCGCGUCGGCCCCUCCGUACGAUGAUCUCCUCGAGAAUCUCGGGAAGGGAGCGCCGGAGACGAAGGGCGGUGGCGAUAGGAGGUCGGAGGGGAGGAAGGCGUCGGAAUUCUCCGAGUUCGAUGAGCUGAUACCUGGAUUUGGUGGGAGUAGCCCUCCUAUGCGGAAAAGGUUCGAAUUUAUAAGCUCAAAUUAGGGUUUCUGAAAUGUUAAAUCUUUUAUCGUUUUGUGUUUAUUGAGCUGCGGAACCAUGUCAAAUUUAUAAUUCUAGUUAACAAUGUUUUGAUUUUUGAUGGUUCAGUUGAUUGAGAUUCACUGAAAACAUAUAGCUUGAAUUACGGAAUUAUGCCUGAUGUUAAUACUAUUGAAGCAUGAAUUAACUGGUAUGAACACUGUCUAGUAUUUUGCUGCUGUUUCCAUAUUAGAUAUAUUAUGCUGGAUUUAGGAGUUUGCAUUUUGCUUAUAGGUAGCGGUGGCAUUGACUAACAAUGUCACUGUUGUUUGGUGCAAUGUAGUCGCUAGAUUGAAAUGUGGAUGACAUUGAUUGAAUGAGGCCACCUUAACUGAAGAAAUGUAUGUUUCAGUAGAAACUGAAGUCAAUCUGCACACAACUUCUUGAUUCAUAAGUAGCUGUAGUUGACAGAUUAUCGCUUUGUAUGUAGGCUAACUUGAUGUAUGACGACUUUCUGUUAGUUAAAAAAAAAAAUCAAAUUAAGUAAGAAUCUGAAAAGGAAGGUGGAAAGGUUUGUUAGGCCGCAAUGAACCAAGGCUACCUUGAUGCUGCAUGGCUACUCAAUCACUUCGUCAGUUGGUUGGCCAGUUCACAGGUUUGCACCAAGUUGUUUGGCUGGUGAAUCAAGAUUCAUUAGUAACCCCCCUCUGUUGACUGGUUGCAACUAGCCACAUACCUUAGGUUUAUAGAUUAGAUUUUCUAAUCAUUUUGAAGACAGAGGUUCAAAAGACUUCCAGAACUUCUAUUCAGCAUUUAUUAACACUUUUUUGUAGCUGAUCCCCAUUCAGCGGUAAAUUUUCUUAGAUAAUGAGGUUGGAAUUUAUGUUUAAUUUGUGAUCUUUAAAAGUUCGUCUAUGUGCUAAACAGAAUAUUUGAGGAAUUUAUGUUUAAUUUGUGAUCGUUAAAAGUUUGUGUAUGUACUAAACAGAAUGUUUGAGGAAGGAUUAUGUUAAGGAAGAUUUGUAGGCAAUAAGGAGCUGAAAUCAGAUACAAUUACAUGAAAUAUGCAGACUGUUAUCCUGCAAUCAUUCAUGUUGUGUGGAAGCACAUAAGCUUUGUGUCUUGUUAGUUGCUUCAACAAAAAUAGUGUAGAGGUCGAUUAGGUCUAAUUAAGACUAAUUUGAGCCUAAAUUUUGUUCCUAAUGGUUAAUUUUGACGAAUUACUUUUGCAUUUCUCCGAUUUGAGUCAAUUAGUGGGUUGCUGGGCUAUACUUGAGUUUGAGUUGUAUUUCCUUUGUUAUGGAAUUUCCUUAUAAGCUUUCAUUCAUAUUUUAUGGCUGGUUGAUAUUUUUCAGAAGAGUGCUAUCUAGAGAGGUGUUGAUGGGACUAUUUCAGGAAGAUUGUUUGGUCACACCUUUGUUUUCCUAAUAAGAAAAGUUAUAGGUUAAAACAAAACUAGGAAUGUUGUAUCAUAUAUGGUGUCAAAUAAAUCCUGCUCUUGUACAUAAUUUUUUUUGCUACAGGCACUUAUUAAAAAAGAAAAAGGUGCAUAUAUUUUGGAGACUAAAUGGGUGAGAACUUUUUUUUGGUUCAAUCUGGUGACUUCUUCAUGCAUCUAGCGAAGGAGAUUCGGUGAUAAUGUCCAUUAAGAUGGUAAAUUGAGUCUUUUCUAGCUAGCCAUAAGGGUUCUUCAGCUAAUCCUCUUCUCUAUUGCUGCUUCCAUUGUUUCUCCCUUUUUUCAUUCUAAUUUCUCUCUUCUUCUCUUUCUGAAUGUUUUAGUGUUCACUCUAUCCCAAACUUAAUUCAUAACACAUUAGUUUACUAUGACCUUCUUAAGAUUUCUUGGCUUCUCUACAUGUUGCUUCCCCAAUUGUGACACUGUCACUCCUGAGAUGUCUAAUAUUUCCUUCCUCUAUUAGCCCUUCAAGUUCCUGUUUUGCAUUGGUAAAGUUUGAUGGUUUUGUUGUUUUCAGCUCUUGUACUUCCCUGCUUUUUAAUUGCUACCGUAUUUGUUGGUGUUAUUUUUGUGAAGUUGAAAGUUCUUUUGCAGGGAAGCUCCUCGGACUAAUGAACAGAAACCUGCUGUUCCAUCAGCUAAGCCAAGCGGCAGCAUGGCAGAUGAUCCCUUCGAUGUAUUGAAAACAGCUUCUACUUCAGCAUAUUCAUCCUCCGGGUUGUUUGCUGAUCCAGUGCAGCGUAACGUGGACACCUCUUCUACAACCGGUGGUGGGAAUUUUGAUACUUCAAAUGAUUUUGAUGGUCUCUCAAAAUCAGUGCCCUUCUUUACUUCUGAGGUGAAUAACAAGCCAAAGGAGAGAAGCCCCCCAAACAACAUACGAGACUCAAGCCCUGUACAUAAUUUUACUCGCAAAGAAUUGUUUCAAGGAUCUUCAAUGGACUCUUUUGAAAAUAUCACCCCUGAUGUGCUGUCUGCUAAGUUUUCAGAUUCCAACGAAUAUGUUACCACCAGUGGUGUUCAAAAUUCAGAACAAUUGCCAAAGUCUAACGAACAUUCUGAAACAGAAGAUGACGUAUGGCUUACAGUUGCUGAAAUUCCUCUCUUCACACAACCCACGAGUGCUCCACCACCUUCACGGCUCCCACCACCACUUAGGUCAUUUGAUGCAAAUGCAAAAAGGAAAGAGAAUAAAUAUUUCUCACAAACUAGUCUAAGAGAUAGUUACCAAAGAGACUCAGAGAAGAAAUCAGGAGUGGCUCCACUAGAUGAACUAGAUGAUUUUGUCAUGGUUAAGCCUCAGAAGUUUGCUUAUGAGGAAGAAAUUGAGAAAAAUUCAUCUAUGGCGGCAUCUGCAGCUGCUGAAAGUACAGAAUUCACACAUAAAGAAAGAGAUACACAUGAUCUGGAAGAAAGAGAGAAGCAAGAAAGGUUGCAACGAGAAAAAGAAGAGAGAGAAAGGGAAGAGCAAAAGAGACUUGAAAAGGAGAGAGAGAAAAGGGAAAGAGAGAGGGCCAGACAAGCUGUGGAGAGGGCUACAAGGGAGGCACGGGAAAGAGCAGCUGCUGAAGCUCGCCUAAGAGCAGAGCGAGCUGCAGUACAGCGGGCAGCUGCAGAAGCACGUGAAAGAGCAGCAGCGGAGUCUAGAAAGGCUGCUGCAGAAGCUAGAGAAAGAGCUGCUGCAGAAGCUAGGGAAAGAGCUGCAAAGGCUGAAGCCGAAGCUAGGGAAAUAGCUGCGGAGGAAGCUAGGGAAAGAACUGCGGCAGAAGCUAGGGAGAGAGCUGCUGCUGAAAGGGCUGCUGUUGAGAGAGCUGCUGCAGAAGCACGGCAGAGAGCUGCUGCUGAAGCGAGAGAAAGGGCUGCUGCAGGAGCUAGGGAAAAAGCUGCAGGAGCUAGGGAGAAAGCUGCUGCUGAAAGGGCUGCUGUGGAGAGAGCUGCUGCAGAAGCACGGCAGAGAGCCGAGAGAGCAGCUGUAGAAAGAGCUUCUGCUGAAGCUAGACAGAGGGCAGCGGCUGCUGCAAGAGAAAAGAUGCAAAAAGCUGAGAAUGACCUCGAAUCAUUCUUUGGUACUGGGUUUCGGGCAAGCAGUGCAUCGGUGAGGACAUACUGAAUAACUGCAAUAUGAAGUUCAAUUUCAACGUAUUAUUAUUUAAUAACUUACUAUUUCAGGACACUUUGUUUAACUCUCAAGCUCAAACUAGAGGAAGUUCUGAUGUGUCACGAAGUACAUCUUCUGGUUCAGUUCCCAACACUAGGAAGACAUCAUCAUCUACAACAAAUAUUGUUGAUGACCUCAGUUCUAUAUUUGGAGGUAAUUUAUUGUGUGAUUUCUACAUCUACCCUUGUUGGCUGGGAUUCACUGUUUAGCUGACAGUCUUGUUCUCUUUAGCCCCUCCAUCCUCUGGAGAAUUUCAAGAGGUUGAAGGAGAGAAUGAAGAAAGAAGGAGAGCUAGAUUUGAACGUCAUCAAAGAACCCUUGAAAGAGCGGUAUUUUUUAAAUUUAUUUAUUUUCUUUCAUGUUACUGUAGCUGCUUUUAAUUAUGCUGCUGUACUUCUUGCUUAUUGUUAGGCAAAAGCUCUGGCUGAGAAAAAUGAGAGAGAUAUGCAAACUCAAAGGGAACAGACCGAAAGACAUGUAAGCCUUCUGUUCUGAUGUAAUGUGUAGUUAAUUUGUUUUGGAGCUUUGAAGAAAAUUACAUAAUUGAAACAAUGUCUUUACUUACAAUAUAUAACUUAAUUUCUUGAUGACUAUUUUAUCUUUUCUAUUCGUUCGUGUGUUCUCUAAUAGUGCUCUAUGCUGAUUUCAGAGGAUAGCUGAAACUCUAGACUUUGAGAUAAAGCGUUGGGCUGCUGGGAAAGAAGGCAACUUACGUGCCUUGCUAUCAACAUUGCAUUAUGUGAGUCGGUAAUCUUUUAUAGUUUGAGUUGUCCCUUCUCUCUUCCUGUACAUUUUUUUUUCUGUCACACGCGCGCACACACACACACACACACACACAUAUAUAUUAUGCUAUCACAAUUUUCAUCUCUCAUCCUUUUUUUCUUGUAUAAUAAUGUAAUAAAUAGGAUUGUGAUAUCUUUUUGCACUCUAGUGACCUUUCUUUGGAGUUGGGUAUCUCACAAACUAGACAUCUCCUAGGAGUGGUUCAUGUCACUUGUUGGGCAUAUCAUAUUAGGAGACAUUUAUUUUCAUACGCCCUUUAAGCACCACUUCAAACUAAUACUAUGUUAUAGCAUGUACAUGUCUUAGGGCUUGUUUGGCCCAACUAGAGCUUCUAUGUUAAGUGCUUUGGCUGAAGUCCUAAUAUCUUUUCAGUAAUGUCCUACUGAUAUCUGCUGAAUCUAUGAGCUGAAGCUUCUGAUUGGAGCUGCUACUUAAAGGAUCUAAAACCUCAUUUCAUGUUUGCUAGCACUUGAUACUGUACUUUUUUGCAGCACAAAUGGUUUAUUCUAAAUUUAGAAAAGCUGACAUCAGAACAAUUGGUCGAAAACCUCAUUUCAGCUUUGCUAGCUCUAGACCUUGAUACUUUUUUGCAGAACAAAUGGUUUAUUCUAAAAUUAGAAAUCAGAAGCGGGUUCAAACACGGCCAAAGUUAUCAAUUGUAUGUUGACGUACAAUAUUUCAGUGGCCUCUGCAGAUAAUACACAUAUAACUUUUUCCCAAAUGUUACCUAGUAUUUUUCUGGAAUGUCACAGGAAUGUUACCUAGUUUUUUUUUUUUUUUUUUUUUUUUUUUUUUUUUUUUUAACUUAAUAGGGUUUCUUGCCGAACUCAGAAGCUCCUCUAUUAACUUUUUCUUAAUUUAUACUUUGCUAGUAUUAUUCUAUUUUCUACACUAGAUUUUAUUUUUUUUAAAAAAAUCUCUUUUGUCAUUUCAUCUUUUAAAAGAAAUGUAAUUUGCAAGCAGGUACUUUGGCCUGAAUGUGGCUGGCAACCCGUAUCAUUGACCGAUCUGAUUACGGCUGCUGCCGUGAAAAAGGUAUACAGGAAAGCUACACUGUGCAUUCAUCCUGAUAAGGUGCAACAAAAGGGUGCAACUCUUCAGCAGAAAUAUGUUGCAGAGAAGGUGUUUGAUCUUCUCAAGGUGUGCGUCCAGCUCAAAAUUUCUCUCUUCAGUUGCUUCCACAAUCUUUUUCACAAAAAUUGAAUCGGUAUCUUGGCCUAUCUCACUAGAUUGAGCUGUAUCCGCAACCAAACUUUAGACGUAGUCAUCAAGAUUCGUAUGCUGUUUUAUUCUAUUCUCCUCUAAUUGCGCAUCUUGGUUUAGUUCAAAAUUACGCCGUCGGUUACUUAUCAAAAAAAAACUCAACUAAAAUUAGCUUUAGAUCCUUGCAUUUAAGGAGAUAAAAUCCUUUUGUCUCAAACAGGAAGCAUGGAACAAGUUCAACUCCGAAGAGCUCUUUUAAAAUGGGCUAUGGGCACAACAUUUGUGUGAUCUGCGCGAGAUAUUGCAAGGGCAAGCAACCACAGUGUGACCACAGUAAAGCGUUGUUGUGAUUAAUUAUUUUUUAAACAUAUUCUAAUUCUUUUCGUGUUUUCCACCUGCGAUCGAUCAUUUUGAUGGUGCCUUUCCUGGCUACAUUGCUGCUCCAGAUAUAGAAAUUGUUCCGAAGUGUUGUAUAUCAAAUUUUGUCGCCCGACGAGAUCAGUAUUGAGCGAGGCCGUUGCGAUUUUACGGGUUCUCUGUUACCUUGUAGCUUUGUGAGUGUGUGAAAACAAAACCCACCUUAUGUGUAUACAUGCAUCUUCUCCAUCAAAUCUCUUGGAUAUUUGUUUGAUACAAUACUAUAUUUGUUGAAUGUUGGUAAUGUUAAAGUGCCAUUUAUAAAUAAUAUUAGUAAAGGGGGGUAUUUGAGUUUCGAGUUUUGUUGACAUUGUUCUUCACUAUUGUAACUUCAAUGUGGGCGACAAUUCGCCUAAAAUAACAAUUACCAGAUUAGACUAGUGUAGAUGCUAAACUAAGGCUCUGUUUAGAUGCAUUAAUAUUUUGUUCAGUAUAUUUGUUUUAGUUAGUAAAAAAAAUUUGAAAGUUGAGGAGUUUGAUAUAAAAUGUCUGGAAGGGAGAUAUCAUAUUUGGCCUUUGAGGUCAUUUUUUAGAGUGGGAUAAGUAAGCCUAAUAGUUUGAAUUGUCUUGUAAAGUUUGGACCGACUAAGGAUCUGUUUGGUAUUAUGACUUAUUUUUGCAUUUUUUAGUGGAAUCUUAAAAAAAAUAUAAUUAUAACCAACUUAUUGUGAUGUAUAGAGUGUGAUAUCAUAUUUGGCCUUUGAAGUCAUUCUUUUUAGAGUGGGAUAAGCCUAGUAGUUUGAAUUGUUUAUAAAGUUUGGACCAAUUAAGGAUUUGUUUGGUAUUAAGGUUUAUUCUCGUAUUUUUAAGUGGAAUCAUAAAAAGGAAAAAUAUUAUAACCGACUUAUUAUGAUGUACAGAGUGUGAUAUGAUAUUAUUUACAAGUUUGAUAUGAUAUUAUUUACAAGUUGAAUAUAAAAGGGCAUAUUUCAAAAUGACCUGUUGUGGGAUUUCUCAUGCACUUUUUUAUAAUGUAUGGAGAUUUCUACAUUAUAUAAUUUGCAAACAUAGAAAUUGCCGCAUAAAGUUUGGACCAAUUAAGAAUAUGUUUGGUAUUAAGGUUUAUUUUUGUAUUUUUCAGUGGAAUCAUAAAAUAAAAAAAAAAAAUAUUACAACUGACUCAUUAUGAUGCACAGAGUGUGAUAUUAUUUAGAAGUUGAAUAGGCGUGGAUCAAAAGGGCAUAUUUCAAAAUGACCCAUUGUGGAGUUUCUCAUGCACUUUUUUACCCACCAAAUGGUAAAAAUGUUUGGAGAUUCCCAUUAUAUAAUUUACAAACAUACUCCUCACAUUAAUAGAUCAAUUAAGUUUUAACUCUUUUCUACCAAAUAAUUAUUCUAUACUUGAAUGUGUAGAGCUACUAUACUAUCGAAAAUAUAGAAAACCUGAUGCUUCCAACUUUUUGACCAUUGGAUUAAAAAUUAUAUGGUUGGGAUAAUUGUGGUCCCCCCAGAGUUGAGUAGUGUCCCCAGGGCUGAGUGAUCUCUACAAGGUAAUAGUACUAAUCCAAAAGUUAGAAACGACCAAAGGGGUUAAUCUAAGGGCCAAAAAAUCGGAAGCACUAGAUUCUCUAUACUUCUGAUAGCAUAGUAGCUCUACUCUACUUGAAUAAUUAGAUUUUAAUUUUAUUGAACUUAUUUAUUAUUUUUAAUAAUUUUAUUCUAAAUUU